UUUUUUUUUUUUUUUUUUUUGUUUUUUGUCCCUCUUCUCUUUUGUAAGGUUUGGAAUUUCUCCUUGACAAAAAAAAAAAAAAAAAAAAAAAAAAAAAAAAAAAAAAGAAGAGAAAAGCUACCCGGGUUUUCAAUGCAUGAAGCAGACAUAUAUAACUGAUGACUAUGAGUAACAUCAUACCUCAGCAGUCCUUCAAAACAUUAAAAACAAUGUAGUGGCAGAUUUUUAAUGAUCUCUGAUGAAAGUUCUUGCCUACUAUCAGUAUGGUCACUCUCAAGAAAACUUGGAUUCAUGCUGCUACGUUGGAUACAUCUUUGCGUCACUAGGCUAGGCUGUUCUAGUGGAUAUCUACUGCCUUCGCAUCUUUCUAUGUUUGUUUUAGAAGGGAUCGAUGACUUCAUAUUUUCUUGCAUGUCCACAAGAAACCGUGUUUGGGACACAGCCCAAAAUACCUAGUAGUAUUUUGUUGAAGAUGACGAGAGCAAAUGGUAUGUAAUGGAUAUCAAGUUAAACGGUACUAAUACUAUAAUAUCCACAUCUCCAGCUCCAGGCUCUGAGGCUCUGAGUAAGCAAACUAAUCCUUCCUGAUAUAUUCCGUCAUCAACCUAAUGCCUUUUAAUUAUUACUUUGAAUGGACAAUUGGGGUAAUCUAUUCAUUUAGUUGACCUAAAAAAGUUUUUCAUUUGGGGAACCAGAAUGAAAGCGGUGCCAAAUGAUUCAAAUUAAAUGAUUUUUAGAGUUAAUACAUAGUUAGCUGGAUGUUAUGGGUAAAAUAGGUUAUUAAGUUCGGCCUCUGUCUCUAUGAAAAACAGCUAACAUGAUCAGACUCGCAAUAGGAUUAUGACAAGUUUUUUUUUUCUUCUCUUUGGAUAAUAAUAGCAAGCUCGCUUAGCUAAUGUACCAAACAUGAGAUUAAAAUAGCUAUCAUAAUUGCUAAAAGGGUUUAUGAGAGUGAAAGGUGCUUACUUAGAAAAAAGAUAGUGAACGGUGUGUAUACACCCAAAAAACCAACCAAUUGUGCUAGAUCAGAACACCUAACUCACGUAUCAGACGUUGGAGCUCGAACAAGUUCAUGUGGUCCUAAAGCUCAUCCCAAGAAUUAGAAAUACUAUUGAUCUCACAUUAAUAAGCUUAAUAACCUUUGGUGAUCAUAAGCGAGAAUGCUUGUGAUCACUCCUUUUUUGCAAGUACAAAAAGCUAAUGUCGACGGCAUCGCAAAAGUCAGCCCACUUAGAGCAAAAGUUUGCCAUCAUAAACUACACACUAGGGUGUCUUACAGUGCUUGAGUGCGUGUGUCUGUGUGUUUUUAUCAUGUAAUUAAGUAAAACUAGAUGCCCACUCAGGAUGUGUGUAUCAAUUUUGCAUCAGAAUCCAUAUACGUUUACUUUAGUCAUUUAGUAUAAAAGCAAUCCAGUUAACGAAUAAAUGCGUCAUCUUCCUUUGUCCUUGAUGAAAUGUUAAAGUUGGACGUUUGGUACAUGCAUGUAUUUAAAUCAAAAUUUAUCCAGGGCUUUAAUUUUAUUUGGUAUGGUACACAAGAGUCCGAUUCAUGAUGGAACAAGCAUCAUGUAAAUUAACAAUGUACAACACCAUCCCCUUUUGACCAUCAUGUUAGUGCCGUCCUUCCCUUUCCCUUGUUAGCAAUUUCAUGUCAUUCGUAUGUGGAGUGGGGAAAGCCUAAGAAAGCUGCCGUGAUAGCAUUUUAAUGCAAAUUGCAAGAUCCAUUAUUGUGUUUCAUCACAUCGAGCCCAUGAAAACCCUUUUAGACCAUGCAUCUCUAGCUACUCGUGCAAGGACAUCCCAGGUUAGCUUUACAGGCAGACGAUGUACGUACUAGAAGGAUCUUGAUCUACUUUUUCGAGGGCUUCAUUCACUGCUAUUUAGUUUAUGAUAAUCAGUUUAAACCCUCAAAAAAUCGUGCUCUAAUGUUUACAGGAUUAGGUUGAUACAUGGUCUGUUUUGAUCUAGUUUCCCGAGGAUUUUAAUUCAUACGUACUCUUGAUUCUUUAGAUCAAGGGAUUAUUGAAACCUAAAUUUUAUCUUGACUGCUAACUUUAUUAAUAUCAUCCAUAUGAUAAGGAGGGAAAGAAAAUGAUCGAGCAAGAAUAUUAUUAUUGUUCAAGUCCGCGAGCUGUUUCAACCCUAGGAGUAGCACAAUAUAUUUUUGAUUUUUCAAUUCGAGCAUGUUGAGGAAUAGCCAUACUUUUUGUCAAAGCAACGGACAAAGAGAAUAUUGGCACAUUUUAUACUCUUAAAACUUUGUGGUCGGUUACAUGAUAUGUAAAAAUAUUCCUUGGUCGUUCACUUCAAUUCUCUGUUAGUAUCAUCAACUAUCAAGCAAGAAUGUGAUGAUAACCAAUGAAUAACAGGAGGGUUUUCUUCAGUUCCGGUGCUGUCAACUAAUUGUGCUGCUACUUUCUUUUGCUGUUUUUGCUGCAUUGUGUACUAUAUGAAUUUUAAAAGGCCUUGAUUUCUAAUGGUAAUGAUUAUUUAUGUAGUCUACAGUAUAAAGUACGGGAAGAAGAUAUAUUAAUUCACAGUAGAGUGGCGGUGGAUAAAUUACCAUUUAUCGCUCGGCUUUUUUUUUUUUUAGUGGUUUAGGAGUCGGCAUAUGAUAUAGUACCUUGUAUUUCACUCCAUAUCCGUCGGUGGCAUGCUUUGGGAGAAUUCAUGACAAUUUUAACACAUUGCUCGUAUGUUAGGUGUAUCUUUACCUUUACAUUAGCAUGGAUGUUUUAGCUAAAUCCUAGUAUACUUCUUUAUUUUUUUUUUCUCUUAAGAAAGAAGAAUUCUUUUUGGCUCUCCUUACGGGAAAAUAUUACAAUUCCUUUUGGGUACGGUAUUCAUGAUUCAAAUUCAUUAUAUUUUGUCACACCAUUCACUGAUUUAAGCUCUUGAAAUAAUUUAUAUUUUGCCACAUCAGUCACUCAUUUAAACUCUUAAAAUAAUUUAAGGGUUGAUAAUUCAACAGUGAAUAUAAUCUCAUCAUCACAAUAUCCAAACUUUUGAAAGAAUUUAAGGGUUGAUAAUUCAACGGUGAAUCUAAUCUCAUCAUCACAAUAUCCAAAAAGGAUCGUAGAAUUCCCCCUACUUAUAAUCUCCCAAACUAGACCAAUUAAUGUUUUCAAUAUUUAAGAUCACAGUAUCCAAAAAGGAUUGUAGAAUUUCCCCUGCUUAUGAUCUCCCAAACUAGACCAAUGUUUUCAAUAUUUAAGAUGCUAAUUUUCGUACGUACUUGAUAAGAUCGUGAUCAUACAUUCUCACUCAACAUCAUUUUCUGGAAUGAGUCUAAUGAUUAAUGAUUAUGCGUUUACUGUGCAGUGUAAGAAAUUAGGAGUUCAAUUAUAAGACUUUCAUUUCCUUCAAAGGACUCAAGAAAACAACAUCUCUAGAAGUUGAUUUUUUUUUUUUUCUCUUUCGACAAUCCCAAGUCAGAAUGGUUAGGCCACACAAACAUCCAACAUUUUUUUUUUCAAUGGGCUCAACUAAGGAUCCUUGCAAAAGAGCACUCUUGUUUGAAUUACCACUUUAAAAAUAUAUAUAUUUAAAAAUAUUCUGUUAACACAUUUUUCAAUCACCUUCAUAAUAUCUCAACCAUAUUUUAUUUUACAUGCAUCACAUCAACAAAAUUAUUACACUGUUAAUUUUUCUAAAAAAAAAAAUCUCCAAAAGUAUGCAAUAAAAAUCGAACCUAACAUUUCCUCAACUAAUAAUUCUACAUAACUGCUUCCAUUAUACAAGAGAGAGUUCUUUAGUUAGAGGCAUUCGUCCAAUGUCUCUAAUUUUUGUCUCUAAUUUUUUUGGCAAUAAUAAAUCCUCUUUAUAUAUGGGUAUGCAUUGUGUAUUUUUCCUGGGCGUGUGGGCUGGAUGGAGGAUAUGGCUUAGGGCUGGGCUUCGAAUAGAUUCUUAUGCUGUCUCCAUUAUUGUGACAUUAAUUGAUUAUCAACAAUAUACAAGCCAGCAGUUACGUUGGCCCAACCAAAACUUCUUAGCACUUUUUGUGAUUUAAAGGAGCCCAUGCCUUGGGCCUUCUAAUUGAACAAUGUCGACAUGCAGCCAUCAAGAUUCCCGAAGAGAGAUGGCUCUGGACCUCUAGUGGGUUGCUUCCAUGUGAUCCAAACUGCCUCGAACCUUUUAUCUGAUCUGCAUUACCUUCUCAUAUUAAUAUUAAUUAGCUAAGGUAUUUUGUGUGUGUAUAUAUAUAUAUAUAUACAUUUAUAUAUAUAUAUAUAUAUAUCUGCUGCUUCUAAAACAACUGAAAAUAUUCUGAUAGGCUUUCCCUUGUUAAUUUGUGCAAAAAACUUUGUGGCAAAAACAUUUAUAUGCAUGUGGUUCUAAGUGUGAUUGAAGUUCUUAAAACCUGUUUGGAUUGUUACUUUUAGGAGUUUUUGUAUAACAAUUUACUGUAACGAUUCGAUAUAUGUAAGGUAAAAAAGUGACUGAAAAAUGUGUUUAUAAAAAAAUCAAAAAAUGUGAAAGUUAUAUAUAUAUAUAUAUAUAUAUAUAUAUAGAAAACAGCAAUCCAACUUGUGCAAGCAUUUCAGGUUCUUAGCUAAGUUAAGAAAAUGGCAAAGUCUUUGGAUAUGUACAUUGAAUUUUACACCGACUUGUUCAAUUGUUGGUACAUAAAGAGAAAAAACACUCAGCACUCAUCACUCAUCUUUGAAUAGUUCCUUUUCAGUAUCUUCAAAUAAAUCUAGUUCAUUUGAAUUCUCACACUACUUGGCAACAUCAAAUUGAACCAAACUAUACUAAAGCUGGAUUAUUGACAACAAAUAGGUGCACGAACACUUUAGCUAAAAAGGUUGCGCAACAAGAAGAAGAUUUUGUUUUGUACUUUCAACUCCUUGAAACAAUUAUUGCUGUCUAUACAUAUGAUCUCAGUAUUUUGUUAUUCUAUUGUAACUCGUACUUCUAAUUAAGCUAAUGUUAGUAUUUUCUUACCAUUAAAAAAAAAGGAAAAAAAGUUGAAAUGUUGACUAACGAAGCUAAGAACAGAAAUUGUCUAAUGUCUACAUUGAAUUUUACCCAAUUUUUCAAUAUUUUAAGGUCCAUUUGGAUUGUCAUUUUCUAAAUUUUUUGUCAAAAAAAAAAAAAUCGUAACAAUAUGAUAUAUAUAUAUAUAUAUAUAUAUAUAUGAGAUAAAAAGGUGAUUAAAAAACUCGAGAUAGAUAAUUUUAUCCAAAAAAAUAAUUCAAACACAUUCUAAGUAUCGACUUGAAAUUUUAGCGAUUUGACGUAUGAAAAAAUAUUUCACGUAAUAGAGUUUUUAUUUUUAAUCAAACCACUCCCUGUUGAGCCCAUUGCUUCUAGAAUACGAGACCACUAUAUCCUACAUGGCAAUACGAGGAAUACAUAAAAAGCUACAACUGCGUACGCAAAAAAAUACAACUGGAUUGUUUAUUGGAUUUGGAUGGGAAAAUCCAAGAAAGAAAAUGGUGGAAAUUUAGGUGACUGCGACCUUUACAAAGCGGCCUUCUCGCAAAGCCAAUUGUUUAUACUUGCAAAAAUAAGGACUACUCCAUUAAUUCGUACUUUCUACUUCUACAUUUCUUUUUACCUUAUUUUUAUUUUUGAUAAAUAUUUAACAAUGGUAGGAGGGGUUGGCUGAUUGCAUUCUCUCUCUCCUCCGGAUCAUCAUCUUUCCCAGACCACCACCGCCGAUGGCUGAGGCGAUCCUUCUUCAUAAUUCUUCUUCCUCUGAUGACAAGUUUAUCACCGGAAGUAAUAGGACUUUGAUGUUCUCCGUUGAGGGUAUCGUUGUGAUUGUUGUUGUUGCUGUUAUGUUCCUCUUGUUGCUCAUCCUCUUCAUCCUCGCCUGCAAGUUCAAGCUAUGGCGUCGCUUUCUCUCUUCUUCCUCCGCUGCCUCUCGUACUCGCACCAUCAAGGUCCAUUUCUCUUCUGUUUGUUGAUUCAUUUAUCAGUAUAUUUUAUGUAUGAUCAAGAUUUUACCGAUGAAAAUGUAUUGCCCCUUUUGUUUGAAGAUUAAGAUUAUUUCAAUGAAGGUGAUUGGAAAUGGGGUCUACGCAAUCAGGGCUGUUUCGAUUGAAUGUGAAGAAAAAUGGGAUUUUAUUGACGGGGGCUAUUUUGAUUUAAUGUGAAUAAAAAUGGGUUGACGGUGCAAUUUUCCAUUUAGAGGUAAUCUAAAGUAUUUUGUUAUGGUGGUUUGGGAUUUUGGCAGAGGGUAUUGUGAGGGGUUUUAGACCCUUGUCCAGCUGUUGUUAGGAGCUUGAAGAAUGAUCCGAUAACUAGGUUGAACGUGGAGAAGAUUGAGCAUUUUUUUUCAUUACCUUUUGCUACGGCUUAAGAAAGUAGCUCAUGUUAAAAGCCAAUAACAUCUAGGAAGGAUUUAGUGCAUAGAGCUUUGAACCUGGUCCGGUGAGUGGGGAUUUUGCUGUCACAGUGUCUAUCAUUUGGAUAUGCUUAUAGUAGUUCAUGUGCUUAUAGUCUCAUAUGUGCAUUGAGUUUCUUUUUUAUGUAAUAAUUUGUGCUUGAAAUCUCUGGUUCUUGGUUAUUAGUUAACAAAGAUAGGUGCUUUAUUGGUCUCAGCAUUUUCUGCGGUAGUCUGAAAAUAGUUGAAAUGCCAAACUUGUGAAAUUUGCAACGAGUUUGCAUCAACCAUUUACCUAUAUUCUGAGCUGAGGCGUAUUCGUUUCAAAUGGGGUUGAUGACUUGAGUAUCUAAGGUUAACAAAGCCAUUGUUUCCAUAAUAUGUGGCACUUUGGAAGACCAAAUGUAAAAUGACAAUCAAUUUGGACUUCCAUAUUAUGCAUCUGUUCCUUGAUUUAAGCUCUUGGUGCUUUGCACUAUAGGCCAUUAAGGGUUUUAUGUGACACACCAUUUUGGGUGCUUUUAUAUGGUGUGUUGAAUGCUGACCUGAGAAGAGCCUUGUUCAUUUUUGGACCUUUUAAAGAAAUCGUGGAUUGAAGAAAUACAAUGUCCGACAUUUACUUUUUAUCCACAAGUACCCACGCCAAAUUUACGGUGGGUCCAUUUAAGUUACACUCAAAGGUCAUAAGGACAGUUUUGGAUACUGCUAAUUCAAACCAUACCUUUUAAAGUUGGGCUCACAAAUAAACUUCAUUAAAUCAGGUUGAACCGUUACAAAUAUUUUUACCUGGUGAAUAUGGAAAGAGUUCUAUCAUUAAGAUAUUGUCUGUAUAGGAAUCUAUGAGAAUAUGACGAGACCUAAUUGAUGAAAUUCGGUGGAUAUUCUAAAGCUAAGGAGUUACAUAAGUUUAGAAUUUUGACUAGAGUGGAACUGUUAUACUCUGUCAGUUUAGCACUCUGUAUGUCUGGCUUUAGAUUAUUUAUAUCAGGCAGACAAUAUCUGAAACAAGUCUGAAAGUUCAAGUUCUGGAUCUGUCUUUCGAGUACAAAAUUAACAUGAUGAAUGUUAGCACUUCCUAUGCUCCAUCUUCUGCAAAUUAACUUCACUGAAAUGCAUGGUUGAUGUUUUUUAAGAUGUAUAACUUGGUCUGAGAACAAGCUAGAACAUUCUUCAAACUUUGUUUGAUCAUACAUAAAAGACUGUUGAACAAAGCAUGAUGCUUUGAUGCAUCUUUUCAUCUGAUUCAUGUUUCUAUCUUUGAGCAUACACCUGCUUGAUUCACUGCUCUUCCUGUUUGAGCAUUCUUCUUACCAUGGUAUUUUGUUCCUUUGCAGGCUGAUGACCUUCACAGGCCUUUUAUUUCAGAAGAUCUAAAUGUUGUUUAUGGUCACAGCAAUUCUUUUGCUAGGAAUUAUGCUCCACAGGAAGCAGAUCAGCAAAUUUUAGGGGGCUUGAGCUCACACAGGGCUCAAGGAGCUUCAAAUAACCAAAGUCCUCCUUCUGCAUCUCCCCAACUAACCCAUAGUAUACAGCUCUUGCCCAUUGACCUACAAAAUGCCCUCACGGGCAUCUGCAAAUUAAUUUGUUUGCAGAAAAAUGCAUAAUUUGUCUUUUGCUUCUUUCAGGUGAUAGUUUUGUUCUUGAUAUCCGAGAUACUUCAGAAGAUGAUCUAGUUGGCCAGACACUUAAGCGUCCACUGGUGACGAAGCAGCUUGUAGAAGUGCAAAAAGUUUGUACAAAAGAUGAUUUAAAGGAUAGUCCAAGAUUUCACAUAGACAGUGAAACAUCAAGAGAAUUUGUUCCAAAAUAUAAAGCGGAUCAAAGUAAUUUUCUCCUAUCCAUUGUAUAAUGUGCAUAGUGUACUUUUUUCUUUUUUCUGGUAAAUAGUGUAAAACAUGUCAUCAUCAUUUUCUGUUAGAUGUGCAGGAAGCAUCCUCACGUUGGAGGUUGUCUCGGGGCUUUCUCAUGGGACUCAAUGCUGCGUGAAGUCAACAGAUACAUCUAGGCUCCCUCUCACUCUUGGAAGAGUUUCACCUAGUGAUUUGUUGGUCCAGGAUUCAGAGGUUUCUGGCAAGCAUGCCAGGAUUAAUUGGAAUCCUAAUGUAAAGUUUCAAAAUAUUUACUACUUCAGGAUUGGAAAUUUGGCAACAUUCUUUGCACUUUAGGAAACACUCAUUGCAUUGUAUUUCAGAGAUUGAAGUGGGAGCUUGUUGAUAUGGGUAGCUUAAAUGGUACAUGCUUAAAUUCUCGUCCUGUCCAUCAUCAUGAUUCAGGAAGCAGGCAAUGGGGAGAUCCAGUUGAGCUUGCAAAUGGAGACACAUUAACUCUUGGCACCACACCCAAGAUUUUUGUAAGUAGGCUCCCAUUGAAGUAGCUAAUCUGGCAAUAUCUAUUCCAGAGUUUGUUGUUUUUGAACUAUUUGCUACCUAUUCUAUGUUUGUAAGUAGGCUUCUGUUGAAGUCACAAAUCUGGCAGUAUCUUUUAUAAAGUUCCUUGUAUUAGAACUUUUUUCUUCCUGUUUUUCAUCUGGUGUUUCUCAUUGAUUUACUUAUCUCUGGGGGAGAAAAGGAAAUGCAAUGAAACAUUAGACAUGGUUUGAGCAUUUUGUGUUACAAAUUUGCUUCUUAGUGUCAGUUGGAGCUUAUCAGGAAUUAGGAUUUUCGUUCAGUUGAUAUCAGGGUUUCAUUUAUAUGAUUUCAAUUGAAGUUCUUCCUUAUAUAGGCCGAUUCCUCAACUAUAAUUUCUUUCAUCUCUAUACUAAUCUGGAAAUAGCAUUUAACUUUGUCAAUUACGAGUUGAUUUUUGUUUUUUGAAUCAUGUAUCUCAGUUUAAAGAAGAACUUAAGCAUAAAUUUUCGGCACUUCUUUUCCCUGCUUCAUCCCCUUUUAUAGAGCCCUUCUUUCAUUUCUUGGUUUUUUUGCUGCAAACUUUGCUUCCCUGAAGUCAAUCUUUCUCAAAUGAUCGAUAUCAAAUAUAUUGGUUACUUUCAAUUUUUGUCAGAAGUAAUGUGUAAGACAUUCUGCUUGAAGUUCAAGUAUGUUACUUUAUGUGUAUAUUUCUUGCUCCUCUUUCUUUGUUUGAGAUUGUAAAGUAAUUCAAUACACAAUAGACAAGUAAUGGGUAAAGUACUGAUUAUGCAGAAGUGUGACAGGAAGGAAUAUUACUUGAAUUUAUGAUUAAAAUUGAGGCUCCUUGAGGUAAGCUUAGAACACAUCGAUUUUUGGGCUGAUCUUAACACAAAUAAUAAAUCAUGGUUCUCUUUGCCAAUGCGAUAGACAGUUUCCGGCUUAUUGGGCGUUAGAGCACAACUAAGACCUUCUCUUUAUUGUUCUUUUGCAAAGGAAAUUGCCAAAUAUUCUUGUCCUUUUGUACUGAAUAGGUUUCAUUGUGCAAUGUCUUUCCUGAUCCUUUUUGGUUGUCACAUUGUCGGCAAUUAGUUUGUUAAUAUUCUUUUAAGUGCUCAACUCGUGACACGACUCUUAGUCAUAUGACUACUCUAGAGUAAGGAUCAGAAGCUAGGAGUUGGUAUAAGGGUUUUAAUCUUCUUUAUGUUACAAUCACUGAAAUCAUAUAUAUCCUGUGUGCCAUUGUAGCUGUGUUGAGUUGUCAGUUUCCUAAUUCCGUUUCUUAAUUGGAGGGUCACUUGGUGCAGGUCCAGAUUACAUCUGAGACUGAGAGCCAGAUCCCAUUCGGAGUUGGCAUAGCAUCAGAUCCCAUGUCAUUGCGCCGAGGUGCAAAGAAGUUACCAAUGGAAGAUGUCUGUUAUUAUUAUUGGCCUCUUCCUGGGACUGAACAGGUUUAUUUAGUUCUAUUCUACUUUAACUUCAGCAGUUACCAAGAAGGGUUUUAAUUCUUUUUUGGACUGUUGAUCCUGCAGUUUGGGCUGUUUGGUGUGUGUGAUGGACAUGGCGGAGCAGGUGCUGCUACAUCUGUUAGCCAGUUAGUAUUCCAUUUCAUGUCCUUGAUUAACUCAAUUAAGUCACAUGUGAUGGUUUAUUAUAGGACCAUGCUGGUGCCAUCUUGUUUACUUAAGCUCUCUUUUUCUUUUUAAUUUAAUUCUCUCUCUCUCUCUCUCUCUAUUUUGCUAGAGUGAUGCCUCAAAUGGUUGCAAGCAUAUUAUCGGAUUCUUUCAGAAGAGAGAAAGUGUUAUCACAGCGUGAUGCUUCAGAUGUUCUUAGAGAAGCUUUCUAUCAAACGGAAGCAUGCAUAAAUCACCACUAUGAGGUUUCUACUCAUUUCAGUUUCUGUACUUUCUUUAUGCUUUUGUAUUGCUUCUGCCAUUUAAUCCAUUGGGAUAUGCACCUCCUGUACCAACCUGUAGCCUUCCUCAUCCAUUUACUUCUCAUAUUUGUGGCUUUAUAGGUUUUGUGAUAUUGGCACUACAUACUUUAAUAGAGUUUCUAUGAUGGUGUUUUUUUUUUAACCAAAAAUUUCUGAGAUUUUCAUGACUUCUUUAUGAUAAGUCUGACUCUUUUGUGUAAGAGAGGAAGGAAACCUUUUUUAGCUCUAAAGUUCCUUGUUGGCGUACUCGGUACAAUUAGAUAAUGUAAAUACAUUCAUAGUUGGCAGCCUCUUGGUUGACCAACAUUAGUGCAAAAACUUACAGUAACAUUGAUAAGUACAGAGAUUAUGGGAUGUGUCCACUUAACAUGUGAAACAUUUUGAGUGCUUCAAAGCUUUAGUUCUUGAGAAACACUUUUGAAGGAAAUUAUUAUUAUUAUUAUCUUUAAUAUAAAGCUGAAAAGUAUAUUUUGUGCAACUAAGACAGAAAGUGAAGCAGGACUUGUUGGUCUUCUACUCUGUUAUGGUUUUGGCUAUACAGGGUCUGAUAUUAUAUUUUGGUUUUAUGAUCAUCUUUUUCAGGGCUGUACUGCUACGGUGCUUCUUGUUUGGGCUGAUGGUAACGACAGUCUUUUUGCGCAAUGUGCAAAUGUGGGAGACUCUGCUUGUAUUAUAAAGUAUGUGUUUUUGUUAUUGUUAUGCAUUGACUAAAUUCAGAAGAAUUUUAUCACGUUAACACGUUCUCAACUAAUUGAAAUAAUUUACUACACUAAAACCAAGAUUAGUGCUUCACUAUUUAUCAAAGCUUUUGAGUUUGAUUUGAUGGGGCAAUAUUUUGACUUUGCUGAACAUCUUUGGCUUCGAGUAUCCAGUAUAACUUUUCAGUUCUUAUCGUGGCCUCUAGAUUCUUGUGAUCUUAUUUUCCAUUACUUAUGUACAUCCAUUAAACUUUAUGGUUUCCUUCCAGAUUGAUAGAAAUGUCGUACUUAUAUUUGUAUCAUGAUUAUCUCUUGACGCUUGGCACUGCCUUUUGUAUACUAUACACCCACUUUCCGCCUUUCUAUAAUCACAGUACAUGUAUGUUGUUAUUCUGGUCUUUCAGUUCACCUAAUUGUACUGGCUACAAAGUCAUUCAUGAGCAGGAGUUUAAGAGAACGUAUAUCUUUUUACCCUGGAAGGGAUGGAGCUGCCAAAAGAAGGCCUUUGAGUUGCUUUGAGAAAAACAUAACAAUCUGCCGAUAACAUAUAGUUUAGUUUAAUUGCUGUGGCUGUUGUGGAUAAUUUCUAUCUGCUCCUCCACGAUGUUCUCGUAAUGAAUAAAUUGAGUUUUCUGUCAUUUGGAUUCAAAGAAAUUCAAGAUUUUGUGUAAUUCCUGUGAAACUGAGAUAAUAUUUUCAAAUUACUGCAGCAUUGAUGGAAAGCACGUGAAGAUGACGGAAGACCAUAGAGUAACUAGUUAUGCUGAAAGAUUACGCAUCCAGGCAAUAGAACCUUUGAGAGACGGUGAAACACGACUAUGUGGUAUUUGACAUUCCUUUUUCAUAUUUCAGUGUAUCAAAUGUCAAUUAUCAUCAGUCUCUCAUUGGUUGCUCUCAAGCAGGCCUUAACCUUGCUCGAAUGCUUGGAGACAAAUUUCUUAAGCAGCAGGAUGCUCGCUUCAGCGCAGAACCUUAUAUAAGUCAAGUAGUGUACAUAGAUCAAUCAAACAGGAGCUUUGCAUUGUUAGCUAGGUGAUCCUUUGUGGCUCUAUUAUACAUCUUGAUAUCUGCUGAUGAAUUAGCUUUUUCUCCUUGCUUGAAUGCUGAAGAAAGUAGGCCUUGAAGAGAGAGAGAGGCGGCAUUUCUUUUUUUUUUUUUAAUGACGCUUAAAUUGGUGGUUUGUGGAUUUGGAUGCAGUGAUGGCUUUUGGGAUGUUAUAAAUGUGAAGAAGGCAGUUCAGCUUGUAAACCAGGUAUAAAUUCUGAAUUUCAUGUAUAAUUUUCUUUGGAUUAUUCUGGUUUUUUUGACAAGGGAUCUAACCUUGAAUCUUGUUAACUGUGCAGACAAUGGAGAGAAAUUCAGCGAAUCAAGAUAAUUCUGCAGAAAAGGUUGCUAAUGCUUUGUUGGGUGAAGCGAGAACCCAAAGAACGAAGGACAACACAUCUAUAAUUUUCUUGGAUUUUGACGCUACUAACAGAAUUGGUUCUUGUAAACUUGAUCCUUAGAUUGACUCUCAAUGUCAAUAAUCCAAAAUCUUAUAGAAUGCUUUAGCUUAGUUGCUGUGGAUGUGGUUUGCUCUCUUCCGCUGCCCCCCUUCUCUCUUUACAAAAUACCCCCUCAAAUAAACCCCAAUUUCCCUGGCUCGGACAUAUCCACCCCUGUCAAGUGAUCUGGCCGGGAGGGGAUGAAUAGUCCUCUAGCAAACCCCAAAAACUGGUUUGGGAGGGGCACUAACUAAGAAGACUGCAAGGAUCCUCUGCGUCACUUUUGAGUGUUUGGUUCUUUCUUUUGAACCACUUAAAAUUAGUUUUCAAGUCAUGCGUUCACCUCGGCAAGUAUUCAAACCAUCUUGCAGUUUGAGAUAAAAUCAAGCAGUUGCCACGGCCUUACGUGAAACAAGAUCUACCAAAAAAAAAUCUCUAGUAGUUGCUUGCGUGGAUGCUCCUCGAAUCUCUACUGGAAGUAUGUCUCCUGCGAAUUUGAGCAGUGAUUCCUCAAAAUAAAAUUACUCUUGAAUGAUAUGCAGGAAUAUUCUACGAUCUCUUUUGAGUAGCAAACACAGAUAUUUUAAGCUCGUCAAUGUAAAAGUUUUAACUAUUUAAAAUAUAAAUCACUAUCAUCAUUAAGGGAUAUACAUUGAGAGAGUGGUUCUCUGAAAAGAACCGUAGAAUUUUCUUAGUAUAUAUAAUAUAGGAAAAUUAAAAAGUUACAUACACUAUAUUUAUUUUGAAAUUUUUAGAUUGCUCUCAAUUACUAAUCCUUCAAAUCUGUCGUUAUUUUAUCUCAUUAUGCCAAAAAUUAGAUAUUUUCACCUUCAAUUCUAUAUGUAAUUGUGACUAUCAAACUUAAUGUGCCCGUAAAGCUAUUACAAUCGCUAUUAAUUGAUUCAAUUGAUAUCUUAAUUCCAAAUUUAUCAAACGAAACAAGAACAAAUAGAACAAAGUGGGAUGCUACUAGAAUUAAAAUUAAUUAGUUGUGUAUUCAGUUGACACUUUCACUUCAAAUUUAUUAAAAGAAAAAAAAAAUGAAAACAAGACCGUAACCAUCAAGUAAACACAUAGUUUCAGAUUUCAAAUCAUGAAAAAUCUUUAACAUGAUGUGAAAAAGCAAAGAUAAGUGGCCUGAAAGGCAAUUUGCUUAAAAUUGUGGAGGCCUUUUCAUACUUUUACAGACUCUCAAGGGUGUCGUUGGAAAGCCAUUGCUUUAAAAGUUAAAGCCCUCAAUAAACCCUUGUCCGGUGUGACAGCUGAAAAUGGGGAAGAAGAAGAGAGCCGCGAGAGAAGCAGCAGAAGAAGUCACAGAGAAUGGCCCGGAUGAUAAUGCUAAAGCAGAGACCAAGCUUGAGCUCCUUAAUGUUGAUUCUUCUGAGAGAAAGAAGAAGAAGAAGAAGAAGAAGAAGAGAAAUAAAGAGCAAAACGACGGCGAUUCAAAUGAAACACCUACAGUUUCCAUUGCUCUUCCUGGCUCUAUUAUUGACAACGCUCAAUCCCUUGAACUUGCCACCCGAGUAACCCCUCUUUUGCUGUCUCUUCGUGUUAAUUAGCCUGUGUUUUUAAGGAAAAAAAAAGAUCGUAUCUCGACCAAUAUAUUUUUGCUUUAGAUUUUGUGGAAAAUAGAGAAAGGUGAAUUCUUUAGAUUGCUCAAUAAGCAUCCAUGGAUUUCAUUAGAGGGGUCACUAUCGAUUUUCUGUGUAAAGUUUUUGAGUAAAAUAUCGAGACGAAUAUGUUUGCUUUAGGUAUUUGAGUUUUAGUUUCAAUUGGAAAUAGAAAAAAAAUUGAUUUUUUGUUUGCUUAAUGAGAUUUUUGGGUUUCUUAAGUGGUUUUUUUUAUGUAUGCAGGAGGAUAUAUGUUAUGCAUUUCCAAUGUUGAUUUUUUUUUUACCGUCCUUUUUUUGUGCUUUAUCAGUUGGCUGGUCAGAUUGCUCGAGCUGCAACUAUUUUUCGAGUAGAUGAGGUUUGUCAAUCUUUUUUGCUUCUUAUGAUUGACUAUAAUUUUGGUCAGUUUAGUCUGAAUGGUAACAAAGAUCACAAAGUAAGCGGAUGCAUACAAUGGCAGGAAAGAGCUUAAAAGGGUUGUGGGGAAGUGUCAGCAAGAUUUACAUGGUUGUUCUUGUUUUCGGCAGGUUGUUGUGAUUGAUAAUAAGAGUACCUCAGUGGAUGAGUUUGAGUUGCUGAACCAAGAGAACAAUUCAGAUGAUAAUGAAAGUGGUGCAGCUUUUCUUAUAAGGAUUUUGAGAUACUUGGAGACACCACAGUAUCUGAGGAAGAGUCUUUUUCCUAUGCAUAACAGCUUAAGAUUUGUGGUGAGGACCUGACUUCUCAAUUUGUGAUUAAUGUGUCACAAGAUAAUUUAUUCUUUUGAAUAUUUCUCCAUUUUGUAAUUGUUGAGAGCUUAUACUUGAGGGGGACUUUUUGCAGGGUCUGCUGCCCCCACUUGAUGCCCCACAUCAUCUGCGUAGGCAUGAAUGGGCUCCCUAUCGAGAAGGUAGUAACCAAAUUCCUCUCCUUCCUAUUAGAGCUGUGGGAUUAUUGAAAGGAAGGUAGAAGGGUAAGUGAGGGUACUGAAAGAAAUUGUGAGGAUCAUUGUCUUGUGAGGUUCUGAGACAAGAGGCAUGCUCUAGAAAGCUAUCCCAGAGCUUCCUAGCUGCCUCUGAAAUGCUAGUCUUGCCACCUGAUAGACAAAUAAGUCCUUCUCUUGUGAUUUCCCUAGCCAACAUUCUCAUUUCGCUUUCAGCAUGUUUAAGUGAUCAGUGAUUUGAGCUAUUUAUCCUCAUCCAUCGAUUGAAACUACUAGUUAAUAUAGUUAACGGAGCAGGACAAAUGGCAAGCUUGGUAAGAUUGUUAAGUAAAAACUACAGCAAUGUCAAAUUCAGAAUCUAAUCAACUGAGAUUCUCUGGAUGUCCUGAGUGUUGCACCAUGUUGUUUGUGUAGGAGUGUAGUUUCAUUAGAUAUCUUUAAAAUUCUGAGUUGUUUCUUCCAUAUGCUUGGAAUCCUUGUAUUGAUUAUUUCCUGGCCUUCAUUUCGGAUAUUAAAAUUAGCAACCCUGGUUUCCACUUUUCACUAGUCAAUAAAUUCAGUGUUCAAUUUUGGUCUGUUUAAAGUUUUAAUUGAUGCUUAUCUGGACAAUAGUUGGUUAUUCAUAAAUCUGGUGCAAACUACGCAUUUGAUGACUUGUACUUGAUUGCCAAACUUCGGCUAUGUUUUCUGUUAAUUAGCUACGUUGUGAUGCCAUGAAUUUGUACCUCUCCUGCUGAGGAAUUUAUUAAUCCAUUCAGAAGUAAACUGACUGUCCACAAUUUGCCCUUUAGAGCCUCAACUUGUAUAUACACCUAUUUAGUCGAUUGUUCAUGGAUAUGGUGCAAAGUGUGUGCAUAUGAUGGCUUACACUUGAUCGCUGAACUUCAGGUAAGUUUUCUGUUGACAAGCUAUAUUCUGAUGCAAUGACUUUGCACCUUUCCUCCUGCGACACUGAUUAGGUUUCUUAUAUUGUAUAAUCAAGUGUAACAGUUUUGUUUCUGAUACCAACUAUGUGGGACAUUUUUAUUUCUCCAACCUUGAGGCUUGGGUUAUAGGGUUUUCCAGACCUUUGGGUGGUAAAGUGAAUGACAUAAAUAUAUGGUCAAAAGUCUUAAGGUCUUGUGUUUAAUGACUGGAAAUAUUUCCAUGACAAAUAUACUUAAAUUUGGUUUAGACCCAAAAGCAGGUCUGUCUUCAAUUUUUAACCUUUAUCUUUUUUGAAUUUUUUAGGCAUCACGUUAAAAAACCAAGCUCCUGAUUCUGCUGGAAGUCUCGUAGAUGUGGGGCUUAGCAAGGUAUAGCAUGUUGUGUGCAUUCAGGAGGGUUAUAUUUCAUGUCGAUGGUUCGUUUAUACUUAGGUAUUAGCAUUACGAUACAUUUGGUAUAGACAUAUAUGCCUGAUAAUUUAUCUUACUCAAAUAAGUUCGGGUUCUAUAGAACAUGGUUACUUGCAUUGUCUUGAAAAUCUUUUUGCUAAGGGCUCAAUCUAAUAGUGGUCAUGCAGCAAAGCAUAGCUAUUAUGGUUGUGCCUUAACCUUUGAUAGAAACAGCUACGUGUUGUGGACAAGUACAUCAAAAGUUGUAAUGUGUAUUGGAAGGGCAUGCAUGUAUUCAUCUUUUUCUCAUUGUGGAUUAUUAAGGCUUGCAUUGAUCCUACAAGUUUGUCGAUUGCUUCACCUGUAUGCAAGUCCCUGCGGAUGAGAAGGACAGAGUUGGGGCAAAUUGUCCAUUGCAUUAAUUGACAGAUCUUUUGAGCAUCUGCCUUUUGAAUCCUUUUAUCCGUGCUGUUUACUUUCUGUGUGGCUGGUUGCAUUCACUUUCUGUAAAUGAUUAAAAACAAAAAAAAAAGGAAAAUAAGAGCAGGAUAUGUUUUUACUUCUCAUGAUUGCUCUUCCCUGCAGAAUGUUUUGAUUGAUGAAGUGAUUGAACCAGGAAGAAGAGUAACAGUGGCUAUGGGCUCAAAUCGUAAUCUGGAUACAGGUAAUCAACUAGACCUCAUAUAAAUUUUCAUUUGUAAGACCAUGGUUUUUUUUUUUGACAUCACAUGGUUGUACAUCAUGGCAAGUUUGGAGUGGAAAUUGUUGUUCAGGAGAAUCAGGCGACCAUGGUUUGCUGUUUAAUUUACAUAAGACAAUGGUAAUCAACUGUUAAUAGUUGUUCAAGAGAGGUUUAGUGUAGAUCACGGAUAUCUUAGUAUUCAGGUCUUAUCUCACUUAUAUUUAGUGUAGGUCAGAGUCAAAACAAGCUUGCUAAGAUGCUCAUAGCUAAGCCUCUUAAAUCUUGUAGUCCUUGAAUGUAUUCCAUGAUCACAAUGGCGGAUUAAUUGUAAUUCUUUUGUAAUAUCUCAUUUCAGGUCUAACUUAUCAAGUUGUCCCAUCUUCCAGGCCUAGGGAUGAAGUGGGGAUGUACUGGGGUUACAAAGUAAGAUAUGCUUCCAACAUAAGUGCUGUGAUAAGUAGCUGCCCAUACAAGGUAUUUAUCGUCCUUUUCUUAAUCCUAUAUAGGAAAGCAUUGCUUGGUUCUUCUUUCUGCAACAUGGAAAAUGCGCUUCUCUCAUUUGAUUUCUUGAAAUUUGGUUUUAGGGAGGGUAUGAUCUUCUGAUUGGCACCUCAGAACAUGGAGUUGUUAUCAAGUCUUCUGAACUUUCGCUACCAUCAUUCAGGUAUAUCAACAUAGUUAAUGUUAUGGCAGAAUUACCAGUAUAUGCUAUUUCAGCCUUGUUUCGGUGCAUCCAAGGAGCAUAGAGUGUCUGACUCGUUCAUCAUCAUGUGUCAUUUAAGCAUUAAAUUCCAGCUUUUGCAUGUUUCAUAACUUAGGCACCUAUUAAUUGCUUUUGGAGGGCUCGCUGGACUGGAAGAAUGUAUCGAGGAAGACAAAAAUUUGAAGGUAGUGUAGAGUCUUUCUUGUUCUUACUGGUAGCUCACUGAACAUAUAGUUGUUGCAUAUAGAGUGGCUAGCCUGGUAGAUUCUCUCUCUCUCCUCCUGAUCUGCACUUGAUCAUAUUUUAUGCUGAAGAAUUGUGAAGCAUUUCAAGCAUGGUAACAUUAGGUUUUGGUCAAGAAAUUGGUACAUGCUGCUAUCUCAGUUAAGAGAUUUUAUGGACGAAGGUGGAUACUGACUAGAGUUUCUGUGUAUGCUAAUCUUUUCUCACCAUUCAGGGAAAAGAUGUGCGAGAAGUGUUUGACUUGUAUUUGAACGUGUGUCCUCAUCAAGGAAGUAGAACCAUACGGACUGAGGUACUUCAUAAAUCUCAUUUCACCUGGAGAGAACUUGUCAUCCAUCAAUAAAGGCUUCACUAACGUCUUUGUUUGUCUAUUUCUACAACCAGGAAGCGGUAUUUAUCUCUCUGCAGUAUUUUCAAGAACCAAUUAGUCGGGCUAGAGAUGCGCCCAAAAGGAUCUAGCCACCUAAAGCCAUCAAAUAGCAGACGUAAUAUCAGAUAAUGACCAACCCUUUAGUCAGGUUUGAGGAUGACUAUUCUUCUUGUUCUGAAGCUUGUUGCCACGGAGAGCAAUGGUAUCAUGAAAAGGAGCAGAAAAAUAUUGCUUUCCUUGAGCUGUUUUCAUUGGAGAUUUCUGAAAUGGUGAUUUGAUGGAAAGGAAUAUGGGGCAUGAACAUCUGCCAGGCGGGUGUUUCCUCCUGCAGCCAGGAAAUUUUUUUCUUGUAAAUUUUACAUUUUUUGUUUGGCAAGCCUUGUAAUAUGGCACCAAUUGCUGAAACCUUUAUAUUGUAUUAGUAUUUAGCAGCUGCAAACAGCAUAAGAGUACUUGUAGAUGUGGGGUUUUUUCACCUGUCGUCUUUGCUAACCUUUUUUCGUGGCAAUUGCAUCAAGAAUUUCCUCAUUGUCUUUCAUUUGGUACCCCGCCAUACAUAUACCCCCCUGGGUCACUUCUCCUUUGAGCCUCCAAAAUGCUUAAUCGUGUGCUUGUUCGACUCUUACAAAUUAAAGGCGUUGAUUCCCAAUAUUUUGACUUCAUAAAUCUCUGUUUCCUAUGAUUUCUUAGCAUUUUUUUCCCCUUACGGCAAAUAACACACACAACUAAUAAAGAUACACACACAAGCAGUUAACGAGAGAACGGCCCAGAAAGCCGUCUAAGGGGGACUCAGAAAGCAGCCUAUGAUUUCUUAGCAUGCGUGCACACUAGAGAAAGCAGCCUAUGAUUUCUUAGCAUGUGUGCAGGGAUGGCAACGGGCUCCCAUCCCGCUGCCUACAAACUCCCCCCAACUCCCCGCCCCGCCCCGUCCGCUUCCCCCGCGGGGCUAAUAAAAAAUUGUUAUAUAAUUUUAUUAUGGUUAAAUUUUAACAAAUAAUCAAGUACUAAAAUAUCAACACAUUAUCAAAUUAUUAUUCAUUGUAAUUUUACAAUUGAAACUUAUAAAACUAAUCAAAUAAAAAUUAUUUGAAUACAAUCCAACAUGAUGAAAUAAAUAUAACUAAAGUAGUUAAGUUUUCACUUUUUGCACAAAUACAAUCACUAAUUCAUUAUUGUGCUUGUGCUUUUUUUAAGAAAAAAAUGUUAUUGUAUUAAGUGUAAUUAGGGAUUUAGUAUAAAUGUAUUAGUAAAUUUAGUAUAACCAAUUAAUAAUUUGUAUUAGUACACAUAUAUAAUUAUUAGUAUAAUUAAUAAUAUCAAUUAUAUUAUAUAUACUAAUAGACAUUAUAUAAUACAUAUAACUAAUAAUAUCAUUAUCAUAAGUUUGUAACUAAUUAAAUUAUAUAUUAUAUAUAUAAUUAUAUAUAUAUAUAUUUUAUAUAUUUAUUUUUUUAAAGCGGGUGGCAGGGCGAGGGAUGGGGCGGGGGUACACUCCCCCGCCCCCCGCCCCCCGCCCCGUUUCUAAGCAGGGGAAAAAAAAUUUCCCCCGUCCCCGCCCCACCCCCUGCGGGGCGGGUGUCCGCGAUCACCCGCCCCUAUUGCCAUCCCUAGUACAGACCUUCGUGUCUGCCUAUAUGCUACAUGUGGUAAAUUGGUCCAUAUUCUCUUUUGGAAGAUGAUUAAGCAACGAUGUCCAUGCAAUUAAAGUGUAAAUUUAAAAGACAAUAGAGUAGCUUCACUUCUUAUUUGUUUUUCCAACCUUCUCUCUCUCUUCCUCUUAAUAAUUUCCACUUAGAAAUAUCUGACAAUUUUUAGUUACCUAAUUUAGCAACUUGCUUAUCUUCAAAAAAUAAAAAUAAAAAUUAGAGAAAUUAUGUUAGGAAAAAUUUACCAGUGAACAUGUUGAAAGAAUAAUUUGCUCAUCCGCAAAAAUAAUUAAAAAUUAGAAAAAAUAUGCUACGAUAAUCGCAACAAUGUAAAAACUAAAUAAAGUUAGUUAGACUUUAAUCCCGCAAAGAAUAAAUUCACAUACAAGUAUAUUGUUUCCACAUGCAUUUAAAAAAAAAAAAACCCUUCCAAUUGGACGCAAGAAUUCAGCCCAUUUUGGGGUUUAACGGCAUAAUUGGAGGGGUGAAACCGUCAUAACACUCAACAAGGACAGCUCCGUAAUUCUACUAAAUAUCCGGAAUUCAAACGGGUCAAAUACCCGAGUUACUGUCACAGGCCCUCAAAUAAGCAGGCAUUUUUUCCCUUCGUUAUAGAGAGAGAAACAGGAGAAAAGAAAACUAGCGCCUCGCCUCUUCUAUUAGUUUUUCAAUUUUUUUUUAAGACUCAAAUCAGCACUAACAUAUAUACUUACAGCCGAUUACACAUAUAUAAACCCACGCCUGUUUUGCCUCUAAUUUUUCAAAUUCUCCAACGAUUUAAACACCAAAAAAAAUAAAGAGUUUAACGGUUCCCUUCUUCGCGCCAGAGGCUCCGAGCCGAGAGAGCCAUGGCGGCUCAGGUCGAAACGACUUCUCAGCCAGGCGGAGGAGCAGGCGGCAGCGCCGGUAACCCUAGCGAAAUUCAUACUGACGUUAAUUCUGGUGAUAAUGCUAGUGGAGAGGAGAUAGAGAAAACUAGGACGUUAAUUUGUGCCCUUAAUUUUCUCUCCCGUAAUCUUCCCCUUCCUCAAGAUGUUUUUGAUGCUGUUUCCUCUAUUUACCAUGACGGCACCACCGCUGAUACUGCCGCCGAUGAGGAGAAUAACCAUGUUGAUGAUGACAAGAACGAGGAGGAGGAGGCAACUGAGCGUGGAGCCGACAAUCAAAACGACGAUGCCAACGUCGUUGGUGGCGGCGGGGUUGGAUCUAGUGCGGUUGCUGCCGAAAGAGCUGCGGCGAAAGUGAGUAAUUUUCUAGUGUGAUUCAGCGAUUGAGGUUGCGUUUAUCAGAUUUUGAUUUUGUUUUCCGAGAAAGUAUCAAUUUUUAGCUGUGUUGGCAGACCACAAAUUUAUUGUAUUUAAUGGAAUUAAAUUCUUGUGUUUGACGAGCUCUUAUUGUCACCGUUUAUUGCAAGUAUUUCUUAUCGCAAAAUUUCGUGGAUAAUUUGUUAAUGCCAUCGGUAGAUUAUUAAGAUUAGUUUAUUCAUAUUUGUACGUGGUACAAAUGAGUGCUAUUCAUCAAAAAAAAAAAAAAAUCAAGACAAAAGAAGGAACAAGAAGCUUGUUUUUAUACUUGUUUCUUCAGCUGUAACUAGUUUAGUGUUAUGAAACAGCUCACAGAUUCUUCUGAGAGUAAUUAGACUUAUUUUUCUUUUGUCGUAGUGCAUAACGGAGUUCAUUUUUAUGAACUGUUUAAAUAGGAUUUGGUUUCCUUGGGUGUAUCAUGUGGAGAUUUUCCAAUAAAAGUUCUUUAGGAUUUGAGGGUUUUUUCUUUUCCACCUUGAGUUGAAAGGGGACAGUUUAGAGUUUUUCAAAUCUUGUACUUAGGAUGUAUACACUUGGAGAGAUAGCAAUAAUUUCUGCUUUGACAUUCCUUUCUACUUUGGGCUUCAGGCGACCUUUCUAGUUUGUCAGUGAUCAUAUACUUCUAUUCUGGUAGUCAGUUUACCCCUUUGUACUUAAACCUUGCCACUUGUUUAUCAUUGCUUUCUUGUUGCGUUCAGUGAUGAAAGUUAAUGACUUGGUUGCAGGAUAGAGCUGGAAUGUCAAGUUAUGGGGAUUUAAUGGCAGACUUUGAGGUGGCAGUGCUGAAGCAACGAGAGAAUUGCAUGUCGGGUUCUGGAUUGGGUGAACUAAAAGAAUCUCAUUUCCAGAGCCAUAUUCACCGCCGUCUGACUGAACUUGAAGGUAAUUAGAUUUGUUUUGUGGGUAUCUUGCAUCAGUAAUUUUAGCAAGUGCAUCAAGUUUUCCACUUAGUCAUUUCUGGUAUUUUGAUUUAUUGUACUUACUUGUUGAUUCAAUCUUCGUGACUAUGAGGAAGCUGGAUGUUGCUGGCUUUUUUUUUUUUUUGGGGGGGGGGGGGGGUUGUUAUGCAUGGUGUAAUGUUGGGUGGGUAAGGAGAAAGGAAGGGGAAAUGCUGGAAAUGGGCCAGCAGUUUUUUGAGAGAAGGUGGCAAAUUGGAAAUGAGAUAGAGGUGCUUUUAGAGGAAAAAAUAGUUCAUUUCCCCUCAAGUUCCAUGCCAAGUAGACAAGUAAUACUUUAUUGGCCAACUGCACAGAUAACUUGCAGCGCAUCUAAAUCAAAUGUUACAAGAGAUGGAUGUCUGUAAAGUUUAGAGAGCAUUUGUUUUAUCUGUAUUUAUCAAAGUUAGAUUAUUAUUUGUCCUACCCAGAGUGGCAUGUAUACUUCAGACCACAGGGGUUCUACUCAAUUUUGUCAUAUACCGCAAGCAGCUUUGUGAUCCCAUUUUUCUACAUAUGCUUUAUUUUGGAAUUGAAUAGGUUGAUAUUUUGAAAUUAUUUACAGUUAAUCAAUAAUACUGUAGAAGAGGGGAAUGAUCAAUAGUUAGGUUUAACAAGACCUACAAAUGGGAUUAGAUUAGUGAUUUAAACAGUAAAAGUUUUCUACUACUUUUUCUGGCAUUCUGUUGGGGUAUAUUCAUGUGCUUCUUGUUGGAUUUCUUUGUGGGUUGGGGAGUUGUUAGUACAUGUCUUUGACAUAUAGGGCUUUGUUAUAUAUUUGUGGGUAGGUGGGUGUCCUCAUAUGCCAAUGCAAUUUUCAACCAACUCCAUAUUGUACAUGGCCAAAUUAUGGGAAGGCGAAUUGGCGAGGGCCAAUUUCCAUCUCUAGAAAAUAUGUGCUUGUUAGACAUAAAAGGAUCUCUCUCUCUCUCUCUCUCUCUCUCUGGCUGGUGUAUGACUCGUGAUGAUUAGAAUGUCAGAUUUGGUUCCAAGAAGAUGAUUAUUUUUGCACGUUUCUCGUUAUUGGAUAAUGCUUGAGCAAAAGUCAAAGUUCCAUGGUAUCUAGCUUAAUUUGGAACAAUUUUUUUUCUUUAAAAAAACAAAAAGUAAAACAGGUUCUAUCUUAUUCCUUCUUCUCAACAUUUUCCUUUUAUUUGCAGUGGAAUUUCAUUGAUUUAGCAGGCAUGUUCAUUGAGAUGAUACUAAUAACAUGGUACUGAUUUAAGCAUUCAUUUGUUGUGAAUGCACAAUAAUUAAUUUAAAUCUUUGCUUCAAGAUUUGAAUAGAAGGAGACUGAGUGAUACUCGAUCAGAUCCUAAUAAACUCUUUUGAUGCCAGUCUUAGUAAACAUCCAUAUAAAAGAUUGUGUUUGCUUUUGUUUUGCACUAGAACUCCCCGCAAGCAGAGGUGAGGACCUGCAGACAAAGUGCUUGCUUGAACUCUAUGGAUUAAAGGUAGAUUUUGGAUAUGAGCUGUUAUAUUUUGUUUAAAUUUUCAUGUUUAGUAUGGAAUAGAUCGUGGCAGGAAUAAAUUAUUAGUACAAGUUGGCCACCUUUAUUUAAGUAAUUGUACCCAAUUGUGUUUGUGGGUUGAGGAUAUUUAACUUAUUUUAUGUUGAUUGCUUUAGCUAACUUCUUAGUGCCAAACAAAGAAUAUUGCUAUAACAAAGCACAAGGCAAUUUUUCAUGUAAUGUCAUAAUAUAAUUUCCAAACUGCCCCAAAUACUUUAUAUAGCACAAUUUUAACCUUAAUUAACAAUGUCAUUAUAUUGAUUGCACAUGAAUUACAUUAUCUGUUACUAUAUAUAUGAAUUGCAAACAUAUAAAUCAUAAAUCUGACGAUUUUUUAUACUGAUCCUAUGAUCCAAUUCUGCAAACCAAAAACGAUCCUAGGUAGGAUCCAGAUCUUGAAAACUUAGAUCGUAAUUGCUGAUUGUUCUAAACUACUGUUUUACAUGAUGAUAUUUUCUCUAUGUUGAAGGGUUAAAUAGCAAAUACUUCAUCUAUGUAUGAAGCAUAAGAGGAUGCUUUAGUUUAAUGUCAUUUUUUAUGAUUUUCCAAAACUAUCUCUGAGAUUAUGAUAUCAUCUUUAUGUUAAAGGGUAAAAAUAAAUUCUUUUAAUGGUAAUUGUUUUGAUUAAUUACAUGCCCACUACCCUAAUAUCAAGCACACUUAUGGAGUGCUCUAAGCACUAGUAGUUACUGACUUGAGACUAUUCUAGAAGCAUGCAAACAAAUCCUUGAUCAUAGUAAUUGGUCUGAUAAUUAAGGUGCUGAUUUUAAUGUAUCAUAAAGAAUGAAAAUGCUGCAUCAUUGGAUAUUAACUUCUAAUGAAACUCUUGCCAUCAACGUAAACUAGUUUAAUGUAGCAUCCAGAGAAACUGUUCAACCAUUUACAUUUACCUUUUCACUGUUAAUAAUAGUUGCACUACCUAUUAUUUCCUUGUAUUUCUUAGCUAGCAGUUCCAUCGGAACCUCAUACAUGACUUUGAUGACUCUGCUGCACAUCUUUGCUUCCAUAGCAGCAGCAGCUGUUUCCUUGUUACAUUAAAUUAUCUGUGGUACUUAGUUCGAUUUGGGAUUUGUUGAUUUUCUCUGCAGUUAGUGGAGUUACAGAACAAAGUAAGAUCUGAAGUCAGUGCAGAGUACUGGCUGCGUCUGCAUUGUACAAGCCCUGAAAAUCAGUUGUUUGAUUGGGGCAUGAUGCGGCUGCGCCGUCCUUUAUAUGGAAUUGGUGAUGCUUUUGCUGUUGACACUGAAGAUCCCCUGAAAAAGAAACGUGAUGCAGAGGUGCAGUUUUGUUUACAGUCUGCUUUUGUUUGAACUCUGUCUUGUGGUUGAUCUCUGGAUUUGUUUUGUUUCAAUUCUCCACAUGAACUGUUAAAUGAAACUUUCGCCUGAUUAAAAGUUGGUAUGUGAUUGCAUAUCUUGCAAUCUGGAUAUUUGCAGAUCAGACCUGGACUUAUGGGUUACUUUUCCUUUGAUUGCAAUUAGAAUUCUUAAUUGAGGACAUUCUAAAAUUCAUAAUAAGCUGAUAAUAUAGUUAGCUAUUGUCACUGCAGAGGUUAUCAAGAUUGGAGGAGGAAGAAAGGAACCAUGUAGAAACUAGAAAAAGAAAAUUCUUUGCAGACUUGCUGAAUGCUGUACGUGAACUCCAAUUACAAGUUCAAGCUUCUCAAAAAAGGCGAAAACAACGCAAUGAUGGUGUCCAGGCAUGAAACUCUUUUCUUUUUGCAGAAUUAUUCAUUUAUUUGCAAAUUUAUGCCAUUCAUAAGAAAAAAAUUACAACUUGGAUAAAUUACUAAUUACCUUGUGGCAGUGGAAUGUUCAUCAGGUUAUGGGUGGUACAUCUCUAUUUGUUCAGUCCUGUAUCUCUCAUGGGCCUUGAUUUAAGAAUAUUUGAAACUAGUAAUUUAGGUGAGGGACACUCCAUGAUUGUGCUUAAAAAGAAGAAAGUGAGGUGAGACAGUGAUAUGUUGAACUGCUAUGCAGGAAUAAAAUAUCUUAUCCACUUUUGUAAGAAUAAAUUUUUAUGAGAUUGUUGUUAUGAGAGUGUAACUCAGUUCUCCCCUUGGGCUUUUUAUAUAGUAAGAAUACUGUAAAGGCAAAGAGUGUGUGCCUGUGCCCCUCCGAAGCUUGGGAUCGGAUAGGCAUAUUGUUAUUUGUCAAGAUCAUACACAGCACAUGGGAGAAGAAUUAAGUAGGGUUUCACUUGUCAUUCAUCAGUGAAGCAUUUUGUUUAUUCUCUUUUUCUGCAUAACCUGCAAUAUUCUUGUUCAUGGUGGACAAAUACAAUACACUUUAUACUAAGGUGUUUGUCUGUAAUACAAAAAACAGCAGUAGAAGACUCUAGUAAUCUACCUAAAACGAAACUAUAAGGUUUAGUCAAAGAAUUUGUUAGAGCUGAAAAAUGGUAGUUCUGUUUCCCAAUAAAUAUAUCUUGCUAAUUAUCAUGGAAAUCUCAAGUGUGGCAACUUUCAUCCAAUGGAACCACAGAAAUCAACAUAAUCUUGUCACUGGCUAAUCCAAAUCACUAGAAAGCUAUUGUAGAUUAUGUUGUUAGCAUCUGACACAUCUUUACUUUUUUAUGCAGGCGUGGCAUGCAAAGCAAAGGCAACGUGCUACACGGGCAGAGAAACUGAGAUUUCAAGCUCUGAAGGCUGAUGAUCAGGAAGCUUAUAUGAAAAUGGUUGAGGAGAGCAAGAAUGAACGAUUGACUAUGCUUCUAGGGAAGACUAACGAUCUCCUGGUUCGUUUGGGAGCUGCUGUUCAGCGUCAAAAAGAUGCUGAACUUCAGGGCAUUGAACCAUUGGAAGGUUCAGAUGCUGACUUACCUGAGUUGUCUGCUUCAAAGACUGAAACUCCAGGGCAAUCACGCCCUUUGGAAGACGAGGACGUUCUAGAUAAUGAAACCAAUAGCCCAAAAAAAGGAGGCGAUUUACUUGAAGGCCAGAGGCAGUAUAAUUCAGUUGUGCAUUCAAUUGAAGAGAAGGUAAUUUUUAAUGGUUGUGGUUCUGUUCACCUUGGUCGGGUGUACACUAAUGCCUAUUUAAGUACAUAUCUAAUUUGCAGUUAUAUUCUGCAGGUGACUGAGCAACCAGCCAUGCUUCAGGGUGGAGAAUUAAGACAAUACCAGUUAGAAGGGCUUCAGUGGAUGCUGUCCUUGUUCAAUAAUAAUCUAAAUGGAAUUUUAGCAGAUGAAAUGGGGCUGGGGAAGACGAUUCAAACAAUUUCUUUGAUUGUUUAUCUCAUGGAAAAUAAAGGGGUAACUGGGCCUCACUUGAUUGUUGCCCCAAAAGCUGUACUACCAAAUUGGAUCAAUGAAUUUGCAACCUGGGCUCCAAGGUAUGUCAAGCUCACGCUUUUUGCCUGUUUCUCUGUAUGCAUGCUUUUUUAAUUACAGGUACGAAUCUUCAUGCAUGAAAACUGAUGGAAUUCAACUCCCACCCUGGCUGCAGUGUUGUUGCUGUUCUUUAUGAUGGGCGUGCAGAUGAAAGGAAGGCAAUCAAAGAAGAGUUUUUCAUUGAGGGGAAGUUCAAUGUGUUGAUUACCCAUUAUGACCUUGUUAUUAGGGACAAAAAGGUUCUAAACAAAAUUCAGUGGAACUACUUGAUUGUGGAUGAAGGACAUCGAUUGAAAAAUCAUGACUGUGUUCUUUCACGAACCAUUGUAACGGGGUAUGUCAGCUAAAAUUUCCAACAGUAAUACUAAUACUUUAGUGUACCUCUUUCUUAUCAAUCCUGAGUUUCAAAUAUGUGGCUGCUUCAUGAGUUCCUAUUCUCAAUGUUUAUAGUAUAUUGUUUUAUAUGCUCUCCAAUUCUCAUCUAGCUUUGGUUAGCAAAGCCAUGAAUAUCUGUGUGUUUGUUUAUGUUCUCUGAGUCCUUUGCACUUUAAAGAAUCCAAGUUUUGAUCUUUUCUUACAUAUAUGUUCUUUUGUUAACCUGCUCUUCCGUUACUUGCUUUGGACCUCUGAAAUUGCAUUCUUUCUGCAAGAAAGUACAUUGUAGCAUGGAAGUCCAUUUCAACUGAUUGAAGUUCCUUUUUAUGUUUUUUGGGUGCAGCUACAACAUUAGGAGGAGACUCCUACUGACUGGUACCCCCAUUCAGAAUAGCUUGCAGGAAUUAUGGUCCCUGCUUAAUUUUCUGCUUCCAAAUAUAUUUAAUUCAGUUGAGAAUUUUGAGGAGUGGUUUAAUGCCCCUUUUGCGGAUAGAGGUAAUGUCACCCUGACAGAUGAAGAAGAACUUCUGGUCAUUCGGCGCCUGCACCAUGUAUGUAUUGGUUUCUACCUUUUCCUAUACCUCUUGCCUACUUAUGAUGUUUAUGUGUUAAUAAUUUUGUAUUGUUCUUGCUUUGGACACAUCCUCAGGUUAUAAGGCCAUUUAUACUGAGGAGAAAGAAAGAUGAAGUGGAGAAGUUCCUUCCUGGGAAGAUACAGGUCAUACUGAAGUGUGAUAUGUCAGCAUGGCAAAGAGUAUACUAUCAGCAAGUCACUGACGUGGGAAGAGUUGGACUGGAUAAUGGUAAAAAAUGAUGCCUCGUAGGCCCUUCGUGUUUUCAAUGUUGUUUGCUUUUAUAAAUCUUUAUAAUCAUCACAGGUUGAACUUUCAAAGUUCUGUACCUUGAUGUGUUUACCUGAUUAUUUUUCAUCUUCAUUGUGCCGAAUUGGUGUUUUAUUAUUAUGCUCAGUUAAACUAAGUAAUGCACUUUCCAUUUCCUGAUUUAGCAUGUUCUUUUUUUCGGGUCCAUAUUUAGUAUGUUGUUUGACUUAACUAUAUGUUUGAGUUCACAAAAUAAUGAUGGUUCUUGUUUCUUUCCCCUUUUUUUUUUCCUAUUUUUUGUUCUCGUGCCAUGGAAGGGAAUAAUAUUACCCUUUUUUUUUUUCCGAGGCUGAUCCCACGUUAUCUGGAGUGCCCACUGGUGGCCUAUGAAUCCGUAUUUCCUAGGCAAAGUAGCUAAUUUACACUGAUGAUAUUGCAGGAACUGGGAAAUCUAAAAGUCUACAGAACCUUUCCAUGCAACUCAGAAAAUGUUGUAAUCACCCAUACCUAUUUGUGGCUGAGUAUAAUAUGUGGCGCAAAGAGGAGGUAUUCAGAGCAUCUGGCAAAUUUGAGCUUCUUGACCGCUUAUUACCCAAACUACACAAAUCUGGGCACAGGGUUCUCCUCUUCUCACAAAUGACUCGUCUCAUGGACAUUCUUGAAAUAUAUCUCCAACUUCAUGACUUUAAAUAUCUUAGACUUGAUGGGUCAACAAAAACCGAGGAAAGAGGGUCUUUACUAAGGCAGUUUAAUGCUCCAGAUUCUCCUUAUUUUAUGUUUCUUCUCAGCACGCGUGCUGGAGGACUUGGUUUGAAUUUGCAGACUGCAGAUACGGUGAUAAUUUUUGACAGUGAUUGGAAUCCACAAAUGGACCAACAGGCAGAGGAUCGAGCUCAUCGCAUUGGGCAAAAGAAGGAGGUUAGGGUCUUUGUGUUGGUAAGUGUUGGAUCAAUUGAAGAAGUUAUAUUGGAGCGUGCUAAACAGAAGAUGGGCAUAGAUGCCAAGGUUAUCCAGGCUGGAUUAUUCAAUACAACUUCUACCGGUUAGUCAUUUUUACAAAUUCCAUGAUCCAUCUAUUAUCUUUGUUCCUCAAGUGGAAGUCAAUGGCAGGAAUUGUGUUCUUGAGCUUUCAUUUGAUGUCUUUUCCAUUUUGUUUUCGAGAUUUCUAAUUCCUAUGCUUUUGGAAUUCCACUUUAUGGUACCACAGAAAAGAUCGUACCUGUAGUUAUACAUUACUCUGGUAACCUAGAAAAGGUAGUAGUUCGGAUUUUUUUUUAUUGUAUUUUUUGGGGGGUUAUAUAAGCAUGUCUUUAUAAGAAAUUUCAUGCUUCACUUUCUGAACUUCUAAUUUCUCGAAUUUUCAGUUGCAGUAAUUUUAUUUGUCACUUUGACUUUUGUUAAGUUACCAUGAGAAACAAAAAUCAGAUUUUUAUGCUGCUAAUGUGCAAGUCUUUGAGUAGGAUUAUCUAUGUCUUGUGCUCUAGUGAUUUCUGUUCAGCUCAAAGUAUAGUUGUUUAGCAUUGCUUUGUUCUAGGAUUUAUUGGGUCUCAGAAGCGUCAAGGUUCAGUAGCAUCUGAGUUGUCUGCAUUCACCAUGCUCUCAUUGUGGAUUUUAUGAGAGAUGAAAUUGACUCUCCUCAUCAUUGUCUUUGCAGCUCAAGAUAGGCGGGAGAUGUUGGAAGAGAUAAUGCGCAAAGGUACUAGUUCACUUGGAGCGGAUGUACCUAGUGAGAGAGAAAUUAACCGUCUUGCUGCUCGAUCAGAUGAAGAGUUCUGGCUUUUUGAGAAGAUGGAUGAGGAUAGAAGAAGGAAGGAGAGUUACAGAUCACGCCUUAUGGAAGAGCAUGAAGUACCAGAUUGGGCUUAUGCAGCUCCAGAAACUAAGGAGCGCAAGGGGAAAGGUUUUCAAUAUGAAGCUGCUAAUAUCACUGGAAAGCGUCGCAGAAAAGAGGUUGUUUAUGCUGAUACAUAUGGUGAAUUAGAGUGGACAAAGGCUGUGGAGAAUGGAGACUUGGCUAAGCAUUCAGAUAAAGGUAAGAAGAGGAGGUUGGACAAUCCAACUUUGAAUAAUGACCUGCCAAAUAAUAGUGCUGGAGGUGAGAAAAGGUUACCAGUCUUGAAGAAUGAAACUGUGGCUGUGGCAGCUGAAAUAACAAGAACUUCCUCUGGGUCAACAUCAAUCCCUAAAAGAUUGAAGUACGAGGAUGCAAACUCUUCCAAAAUUGAUCAUUCAGAUCGAAAAGAGGGCAGCUUGGAUGGCUUGACGUGGAAAGCACAUCAGAAAAAGAGGUCAAGCUUGGUAUAAAAUUCAGUAAAUUCACCGAGCUCAAGGGGGAAUUGCAAAGAGAGAGGCGAUCAUAAUGGUUUGCAAAUAAAGCAAUGCAGAUCUAGAUAGUCUAAUCCGCAUGUUUAAUGAAUAUUCUUUCUGGUAUCUAUACCAAUUUGUAUGAUACCUGCAGCUCUUAGCAUGUAAACGUGGGUUUUGACCUCUUUGUUUGAGCUGCAGAUAUGGAAGUGGCCAUUCUACGUAGCAGAGAUGGCCAAAGAAUUUUACCUGCUUGGCCGGUCAAUUGCUAAGUCUCCAUGGUAGAAUCCUAUUUGUUCAUAGGACUUCGGAGCUGCAACAUGUUUAUCAUGUACAAUGGGUAGACUAUAAAGUGAAAGCAGUAGUCCUGGGUUUUUCACUCAAAUCUUCUGAAAAUGUCAUUCGAUUCUCUUCCCUUUUUUUUUUUUUUCCAAGUUGCUAAUGUAACUGCUUCUCGUGACCUGGACUUGGAAAUGUAAUGGCUAAAGAGAGACAAUUACUAACCUCAAAAGAUUGUGUACAACAGCUAGCUUCUUCUGGAUCCAACUUGAUCCCAAAGUAUCAUAGAAGAUGAGAAUAUAUAGCUUCACUCGGUUGGGAGAUUAUACUUAAAAAUAAAAAAGGUAAAAAAAAAAAAAUACAUGGAAUAGUUUAAGCACCCAAAAAGAAGGUGGAAUGCAGAAGAUCUAAAGUAGAAUCGAAAUAGUAAAAGGUUUGCAAUAGUGCCCCAAGGCCCCCAACAUUAGCUUACAAAUUUUGGAAAAACAAACAAGGAGAGGCAAAAACUGACUAUCAAACUUCCAUCAAACAUAAAAUCUUGAUGGAAGAAUUUGCUAGCAUAGCCGGAGUCAAAGCAACAGUUACCUCUGACGCAUAACAACAUACAAACUAGCAAUUACCAAGAAAUCCAGAAAAAGUUUUGACUAGUUUAACAUUCAGGAGCAAGUUCGCCAAAAUGACCCAAUAAAUUCUCUGUAAUGAUAGAACAUCUAUUUCUCUUCCUUGACAUCAAGCUUCUCAAGUUUUGAUUCUAAUUCCUCUUCACUCCCUUCACUUCCAUCCCCAGAUUCCUGGUCAUCAUCAUCCCCUCCAUCAGGGUCAUUCUCAUCAAGAGGUGCCAGCUUGUCAGAGAAUUUUUUGAAGAUAUCUUUUAACUCAUCAAUGCCUUCAUCAGAGAUGAAGUUCCCAUCAACAUUCAGCAACUUCAAGUCAGGCUUGUGCACAACGGACUGAGCUAACGUCCUUGCUCCAACCCUUCUCAAUGAAUUGGAGCUAACAUCAACUUCCUUCAAUUUGUCAUGACUUUCCUCCAGAGCCUUGCUUAUCUGAAUGGCACCAUCAUCUUUCAGUUCAUUCUCUGCCAAGUUCAGCUUGGUGAGGUGCUGCUUUGCAGCUACACAGGCAGCUAAAGCAGGAGCAGCUUCAGCUGUUAUAUCAUUUCCAGCUAUGUCCAACACUUCAAGUAGAGGGGCUGUGCUCUUAAGUGCAUCAGCUAUUGCAAUUGCCCCCUUAUCUUCCAAAUUCAGGUAGCUCAGAUAAACCUCAGUGAGAUUUGCAUGGAAAGAAAGUGCCUUACUAAGUGCAAUGCCAGCUUCCAGACCAAACAUGUUAUCCCGCAAAUCAAGUUUCCUGAGAUAGGUACAUGUGCCAAGUGCUUCAGACAAGGCAAUUCCUCCAUCAGAGCCUACCCUGGUAGAAGAGCAUCGGAAAUCCUCAAGUAAUGGAGAACGCUUUACAACUUCAGAGAUAGCUAUAGCCCCUUCAUCUCCAGUCAUAUUAUUGUGGAAAUGGAGAACUGUAAGUAGAUCAGUUGAUGGAACUAACUCACAAACAGCUCGUGCAGCUUCCUCAGAGAUACCAUCAUUCAUCAGAUACAAUGCCUCCAAACUAGUCUGUGACUUCAGGAGCUCCCCAAAUGCCCUAACUCCCUUUUCACCCAAGGCAUUGUGUGAAAGAUUCAAAGACUUCAAAACAGAACCUUCCAGUGCAGCCGAAAAUAUUUUCAUGACUUCAAGAGCCUCUUCCUCAGGUCUUCCUGCAACAAAAUCGGACAAGUCAACUUCCUUCAAUUGUCCCUUGAGUGAUGACAAUAUAGGAGCUGCAACAAGGGCUGCGUCAGUGCCAAAACUUCUGUUACUAAAACAUAUUUUAUUGUAACAGUUCCCUGGUUCUUUGAGCGGCCUCAGAAGUUCCUCAGCUUCUUCUGCUUUUAUAAAUGCCCUCUGUCCUUUAGAAAUAUCGAAAAAAGUUUCAUCUGGAGAAAAGACAUCUUUAGGUUUCAGAACCUCUUUGUCCUCUGUACUGGGUCCCUUUUUAAGAAUGUCCAGAAUGAGCUGGCUACAUUCCUUAGCAUAAAGCUGCACUGCAGAACUUCCAUCACCAUCGGGCUCCUUUUCGUAAUGUUGAUUGGCCAAAGCAAAAGCUGUCUCUUCAAUUUGUUGGGCAUUUUUGGUAGCCUCCUCCCUGCUUAGACUGCCAUACUUGCGGGUGAAAAUGGUUGGAUCGGAAAGAUUAUUUGUCAUCCUCUCCACAAGCAUUUGUCGUGUGUUCUGACUAGGGGGCCAGAGUUUGAUUGAAAAUGGUCGGCGUUGUGGAUGUGAAGUCACAGAAUCCAUUGAGACACAGCUGAAUAAAAUGUUGCAUGUUAGCUUAUAUUCAAUGAUUAUUCAAAAAAACCUGAAACUGCUUCCAAACUAACUUAUAAACUAAAUGGGCAUCCUUAGUCUCCAUCCCCAUUUCCACCUCAGAUUACUCGUACGACUAUGGCGAAAAAAGUUAAUAACAAUCAAUUUAAGGAGAGCUAUCCCUCAAAAGAACAUUUUGCCACUACUAUUAGAUCACGCCUAGUUAAUUUUACAAAGAAUUAUCAUCUUGGAACAAAUGAGCUUUACAUUUUCCUUAAAAAAAUAGCAAGAUUAUCUAAAUAAAAUGUUCAAAUCUUUUUUUCUCAAAUAAGCACACCAGAAAGUAGUUAAUUUACAAGCAUAACGCAUUCCUAGAAACUGAAAUAAUUUCCUCAUGUGAAAAUACUAUAAUAUGAUCAUUUCAGAAUCUACAUCAGUUAAGCCAAUCGCAAAAGAUAAACAAGUAAACAAACAUAUCCGUACAAUUUCCUUCUUUUCUUUGGUAACAUUUGUCUUAUACAGUACUAAGGCCGAAAAUGGCCAAAUAUGCACCAAACGCAACAGAUCGAAGAGAAAAAAGGAACCUUUUACGAAACAGGGAAAGAAAAACUAAAGGAAACAAAAUUGUAACCUUUUUCUCCAUUCUGAAAAGAUAAUGUAUGAAGCAGGGAACAACGAUAUAAAAACCCUAAAACCCUAGAUAUGAGAGGCAAUUUUGAAGAAAGAAGAUACCUUUUUUUGACCCUUUUCUUGAUUCUUUCAGGUAGGGGAAUACCCUUUUCUCACUGUGUGACUCUGUGAAAAAAUGCCUUCUCGGUAGGAUUACAAGGUAGAGAGAGGGCUGGGUUGGAUUGGAGGGAAAAAGGAAGGACUCAGAAAAUCUGAACUGCACCAGAGAGAGAGAGAGAGUGUAGCAUUAGUGUGACUAGUGAGUGGUGAGAAACUAGGGACGGUGGGCUCAAUUCCCAAGGACCAAAAAGAUGAAUGCGAUUAAAAAAAAUUUUCUCUUUUUUGGAUUUUUUUAAUCUUCUGUUUUGGUUUGGGCCUCGGAGGAUGUAGCUUUGAACUUUUAUUCGGAAAAUUGAGGGCGAUACCUUGGACCUUGUCUUAACAUUAAUGCAAAUUUUAAUGCUGACCCAUGUUACCGUGGAUUGUCUCACAAUAAAAAAUAGUGGCCCCGCUUGAGACCCAUUGACAGGGACGGUACGGUCCAGUCCAGUGAUCACAACUAGAUAUGUCAUCAUUGUACGCAACAUAUAACAUAUUACUGUUUUAACUCUGCGUUCUUAUUUAUUUUUUGAAAAUUCUUUUCUGGGGCUCCCUCACUUCUAUUUUGCCCACUGCUCUUGUGGAGAGAAAAAAAAUGCUUAGGGAUAUUCAACCCCAAAAAAAAAAUUUGAUUGUAUUUGAUAGGAGGAUUUUCUUGUUCUUUUGUACAAAUUUUAUAUCAUAGACAAUCAAUUCUAGAGGGAAAAAAUUUUUUAAAAUAAUAUUUUAUCACGUUUUUUGUGAUGAAAUGUAUGUCAGAUAAAAAUGUAAUUGAAAAAAUAAAAAAAUGAUGUAAAAAUAUGUUUAUGAUACAAGCUAAUAAUUUUUUACAAAUAAGCCUCAAUCCAAACAAAAUUAUUGUGUCAAUGCCCAGUCAAAAUCAUCUGAUUUAGUUCUUAGGUAGAAGGUAAAAUAUUCUCCAUGCAGGAUUCGAAUAUGUAAAAAAAAAAAAAAAAAGUAAAGGUCAGCUUUGAAAUUAAGAAGAGAAGUAAUGUACAAUGAAUCAAGAUUUUAAUGCUUAAUAGUUGACUCAAAAAGGCAAAAAGAAAAUUGCUAGUGUCUUGCCUUAAUAAGGAGUAUUUUUAUUAACAUAAAUCGUUUAUUCUCAACCAAUUGGAUCACUAAGACAUAAACCGACACAACAAGCUGGAGUAGCUCAGUUGGUUAGAGCGUGUGGCUGUUAACCACAAGGUCGAAGGUUCAAGCCCUUCCUCUAGCGUUUCUCCCCAUAUCAUUUUUUUCCCUAUUUAGGAUAAGAUGGGGUUGAUUAAUCAGGCAGAGCAUUCUUGUUUUAACUUUUCAAUGAAUAUAAAUGAACAUGGAAUUGAUUAAUCAGGCAGCUAUUUUUGAAAGACUCUCUUUUUUUUUCCUUCUUUCAAUGAAGAUGGGGAUUAUUGAUUAAUCAGGCAACUGUUUUUGAAAGACAAGAAAUGAUUUAGCCCAUAUUACUAAGUCGGAUCAAAGGAAAAUUGUAGUCGGUUGCAUGAUUUAGUCAAACAAUUUGGUUUUUGUGGUCCUGAAGAAAUUGCUUUGCCCAACUACUUUGCCCAACCAUGCAAUCAAAAUAGAAUUCUAACAAAUAAAGCUGAUCUUGUUCAUGUUUUCUGAUAUAUUGCGCUCUGUAAUUUCGUAGCACAUACGUUAUUAGUUCCAAUUGUACAGGAAAGAAUACAAUUUAUCCUAGAACCAAAAACUCUUGUUGGACUUGCCAAUCGGCAAUACUCAGGCAGAUAAGAGUUGCCUUCCUCCACAAUCACAGAGACCUUCUUGAUGUCACAACCCAAUUGGAGCUUAAUUUGUCAUGUAAACAAAAAUGACUUAGAAUGGACAUAAAUAGUUCUUUAUAAUGCACUUCUAGUUACGAAGGAAGAAUGAAAAAAGAAGAAGAAGAAGAAUUACUGGGAUACGAUGACAUUUUCCACAGUGAACUGUUAGAAACCAAUUGGAGCCCCCACGCAUCAUGUCACCAGAUUGAGAUUACUUGUACUCCACCGAAUUUGUUAAGGUCGUGUCGGAUGAGAUGUUGUUGUCCACGGUUUGAAGCGGAAUGCCUGGGUCAUUGGAUUCAGUCGUUUGCAAUUUUGGAUGAAACAGGAAAAACAAAUGGGCAAAAUUCAAAGCCAAUUAGGGAAGCUGCUAGACCUAUGAAGGGUUCAACUUCUACAGUAUGUGACAUUGCUACGUAUAUAUGUCACACAAAAUUUAAUUCAAGAAGAAGAGUUAAAAUGCAUGGGUAACUUUUGAUGGUUGGAGUCAGGAUUAAUCCAUGCAGGAAAGGAAACGGAUCGAUGGCACCUUUCCAAGCAGCCAAAGAAAUGCCACGCACGAGUGUUUGUGCAAUUCUGCUGAGAAAUCCCAAAUAAAAAGGGAAGAACAAGAAGAAGUCGGAGUUGACCGUCUAUAAUUUGCCAGAUUUCUUGAUCUUUCAGCCCAUAAGGUGAAAGAUAUGGGUCCAUUGGGGGCUUCCGCCGACUGUCUCCGCGUUGAAGAAAUAACAUUUUGGGUGUUUUGAGAUUUUUGUUAUGUAAAUGUACCUCAUUCAUUUUAAAAUUUAUUAUAUACUUCUCUCUCGAACCUGUAAUAAAUGAUGCCAUUGGUAAUAUGAUUAAUGCUGGAAAAUACUGGCUGACACUGUUCGAAGCAGUUCAUGAAUUUUAAGUGUUGUUGAGAUCAAGAAAGCGAAUCAGAGUUGACAUGUCAAAAUGUAAGAAGAAAACUAGACAUGUUACGUAUUAUGACUUUAAAAGUUAGAGACUUGUUUUAGUCACUAGAUUUUCACUUUAAUUAUAUCGCUAUUCUAUUUUUUUAUUCUUAUACUUUAUGUAUUUUUACGUAUGAAGAUGCUUUUACGAGUUUUUAAAAUUUCAAAGGAAACAGAUUGACUUGGUAUACGUUUGUUUAUCUAGGUAUUAGUUCUGCCUCUAAUCCAUUGUUCUUUGAUCCCUCGUUUGGUUAUUUAACAAUAUAGGACUCUGGCUCGAGUGAAGGUCUUGGAAAGAUAUUCACUAGUAUUUGGUGUUUGUGGAUUCUUAGAGCUUUGUUAAUCCGGUUUGGCCUGCAAGAUAUUUGAAAACAUCACAAACAUACAGGUACAAGAAAACAAAUGGGUAUUAAUUAAUAUACAAUCAUCAGUGUCGCCUUCAGAAUUGGGAGUUGGGAAACAGAUUGAGGUAGCUAUACCUAUUUCUUAGGAACAUGCUGAGGAAUUUCCGCUGAUUUUGUUUUUCCUUUUCUUGUUAUUUUCGUGGGUCAGCUCUUGUGCUCAUCGUUUUCAUUUUUUGUCUAAUGAUUGAAGAUUGGAAUCGUUAAACAAAGAAAAUUUGUGCUUGUUUUGAUUUGUGUGGUUUGCAGUCAAAGGAGGGUUGUUUGAUUUGGUUGAAAUUUGGAGAAUGGCCAAGUAGCAGGUGCCAACAAUCUCGUUACCAAAUCCACUGCUGCAAACCAAAACAGACUGAGUAAAACAAAUCUCCUCGAGGGAAAUCAACGGUUUCAUCUUAAGAAUUGGGUGUAAUCCAGUAAACUGGCUGUUUAUAUAUAUUUUGUGUUUGAUUGUCAGGGUUCGCGUACAUUUCUUUCUCGAAUAUCCGUAGGAUUGAAUAAUUCAAAGACAUUCAGGAAUCUACACAAUAAUUAUGAAAUGACCAUCACAAACCUAACUUGGAAAAAUUGCACCUCAAAACAACCAUUAAUUGUGAUGCCCCGUCCAAUUGCAAUAAUUGCUUUCAUGCACUUCAAAUUCUUUUCCCUCUUAGAGAAGAAAACAACUACUUCAACUCCGAAUUUGACUACUCACACAGUAAUUGCGGAGGUAGUCCCAACUCCGAAUUUGACAGCACUUUUCAUGUUUCAAAUUUUUUUUUUUUGGUCAGAGUUUUCGUUUUAUUGCGCAGACAUUCAUUAAAGCGUUUACAGUGGGCAUUGGAGCCACAAGAUCUCAGUUCAAUUUUCUUGGCACUAAUGUACCCAACUCAAGAAUUGACAGCAUAAUUCGUGGAUUUACUUGGUUGAAAUGAUCUUUUCAAAUAAUAAGAUUCAGAAUUUGGUUCAACCAAGCGCCUGCGAUUAUGAGCUUAUUACUUCAGAAUAUUAAUUGGUGGACGAGAGUUAUGCAUCAGAGCAGUUAAUCUAGUUCAACUAGAAAUGUGUCCAGAGCACACUCAAGAUCAAGUUUCAUACUAAUUAUAACGAACCUUCAAUAAUAUAAACUGGUACAACAUAAUAAUUGGCAACAAUGAAUAGACUAGAUAUGCAAAACAACACAAAUUAAAGAAUACAGCCCAACAAAUUGAAGAACGUACACCAACUUCUACAGUCUAUUACUGCUAUAUCCUAAUUCAAUGGGGUGCUGAGGAAGGAAGCCAAGCGUUUGAACAUGAUUUUGGCAUUUCCACGUUCAAUAUCAAAAAUCUGGAAACAAUGAUCUUCUCCUUCAACUUCAAAGAGCUCCACCUUUCCUUUCCAUCCGCUUUUCUUGAUUGCAUUGAAGUACCUGACUCCUCUUUCCCUCAGCUCAUCUUUCUCAGCGACGCAAACAAGCAAUCUUGAACAUUGCAGGCUUGAUAAACUGGGUGCGUCAUUAGAAAAUGGAUUGAUCAAUGGGUUAUCAAAACCUCCUGGUGCAUUUGGAUACGCGAAUUCCCAAGCCUUGUAGAGUAAAUUCUUGUCAACAUCAUCAUCAGAACUUGGCUCUAAACUUAUUGGCUUUGAACUCAGAAAGUAAGGAUGAGAAAGCAAAACUCCGUGGAUACUCAUGCCACCUUGAAGGCUCUCACGGCUGGCUCUUAAGCUCAAAUUAUGUGCUAUGUUUGCUCCUGAACUGUCGCCGCCGACAAAGACUCGAUUGAAAUCUGCAUGGUUGAGAAGCCAUGGCUCUUUUUUGUAGUUUUGAUCAUUGCUGGAGUGUGAUGCAAUCCACUGAAGAGCAGCCCAUGAAUCUUCAUAAGCUGUGGGAAUUGGGUUUUCAGGGGCUAGUCUAUAUUCAACUGAUACAACGAGGACUUUGGCUUGAGACGCCAAGGUGUUGAUGUAACGCUGGCUGAGGAAAGAGAAGGCAGACUCAAUACAAAAGGCUCCACCGUGGAAAUAGGCUAAAAUGGGAAGCUUUUGGGUGGUGGUGGGGGGCUUUGGGAGGUAAAUUCUGGCUGAGAUGUCUGGAGAAAUGGUUAUAUCCUUUGAGGAAACCCCAGUGGCUGGAUCUUCUAAUGCUGGUGGAACAUAUGGUGAAUCAAGAAACCUCUCAACUGAACCAUCUUUGUAGACCCUGAGAAAGGGAAGAAAUUCAGAUGACACUUCUUUCUUGCUAGACACCAUUUCAAUAUUUUCAACAAAGAGUAGGCACAGUUUGGCUUGUAAUAUCGGUUGUACGAGUUAAUACUUUUGUUGCAUUUAUCACGAAUAGCAUGGCCGUUUAUAUAGCCUCAACAAUGAACCAAAAUGGCGCUUUUUCUAAAUUUAAAAGCAUUUUCUAGCAAAGAAAGACAGCAGCUCCAGACUGGCUUGACUAAAUAGACUUGGGCUAGAAUGUCAAUUUUGAGCUCUGGGCCAAGAAAAGGAAAGGAAAUCCUAAAUAAUGGACAAAAUAUGUUUGAUGUUGUCCUCACGCCAUUGUUAGACAUAUUUAAAUCCAAGUUGCUUAUUAAUUUGCAAGGGAGGAAUACUUGUGAGUUGAAUCUAAAGUCUACGGUUGCUAUUCUUUGAUAGAUGACAAUUAUCUAUUUUCAUGAUCAUUAACGAGAUUGCAGUAAUUAAUCUGCUGCCACAUUAUUUCAAUUGAAGACUUUUACUUGAUUGUUUUUCUGACCACGGUUUUCCAGUGUGUAGAAAAUGAAAGGACUAUAACUCGCUUGUCAUGCACUCGAUCGAGUGUAGAUUUGGAUUUGAUGAAGUUUCAGUUAAGAGAAAUGACUACAGGUAAGUUGAAUUGAAUUAUUGGCCGGUUUCAGAUGGUACUUCUCCAUUGCAUAGACACUUUUAUUUUGAUUUUACAUGUAUAUAUAGUUUGAAAAAUUGUGGUAACCUAAUAUUGACGUUGCCCUCACGCCAUCCUUACGUAUAUUUGAGAAGACGAAAUAAUUGAAUUUUUUUUUUCAACUAGUAGAGAAAAUACUUUUAAGUUGAGUCUGAAUUCUAUGAUUCUUAUUGUUUGAAAAGUUGACACUCCAAAUUUCAUGUGAAUUAACAAGACUGCAGUCUGCCACCACAUUAUUUAAAUUCAAGAGUUUCACUCGAUUGUUUAUCUGAAAGAAAAAAAAAAAAAGACACCCUGGUCAUGUAUUCCACUGUAAACCCAAGUCUCUUGCUGACUGAGUCAAAAAUUAACCUUUGGAUGUGAUUGGAUGUAUAUAUAUAUAGAGACAUACAGGGACAUAAGCUAAAUUGAGUAGAUUUUGAUAUUCGGAUGGCCCAACUCAAGAAAAUGACUUUCAAGAAUUUGAAUUGAAUUUUAACCAAUUUCAAUAUGUAUUCUGAAACAAACCCUCAUGAAUUUGGAAUUCUUUAUGUCCAGUCCAGUCCGGUGCCACCAAAUACGAAUAGGUGAGCCUUAGAAAAUUAUCUAAGCACGUCAAUCAAAUAAGAUAUCAUUUUAUUACUUGUCUUCGCGGUAAGAACAAGAAACUUCGCGCAGCCACAAAACAGUUACCAGUAGUGUGUUUUCAAGAAUGGCUUGGGACGACCAUGGUGGAAACGACGUGAUGCUCUGGGUACUAACAAAAUUCGUUGACCAAUUCGAUUAGGUAACCAUUACAGCUCACUUAGCACGGCAAUCAGCCAGUUUGAGAUGGUCGCUUUUGUCUUCAUGGUAAGAACCACACGACUUUCACGAGUGGCAGCCAACUGCCCCGCCCAAUUUUUUACUCUCCUUUUCCACACCGUCUUUUCAAACGGAAUGUCUCCUUUUUUUUUUUGGUUGCCCGCCCGGUAUCCUAAGCUUUUGCCUCGACUAAUCCGGAUUCGACCCGUAUCGCGCACCUGGCUAUGAUGGGAGAGUCUCCCAACAAGGGUGUCUGCAUACACUAGGACUCGAACACAAGACCUGCUUAAGCGAAUCCGAGCUGCUUACCACUCGGACCAACCCCUGUUGGUACGGAAUGUCUCCUAAUAAGGGUAAAAGCCACACACAAAAACAAAAAAAUAUAUAUAUUUUUUUAUACACUUUUACUAUAUAAUUUUUUUUUACUAGUAAAUUUAGAUCACGUUAUAUAAUAUGAAAUCAAAUUUCAAAUUACACGUACGUGACAUAUCUUCAUAAAUGUUAAUAUAAAAAUUAAUUACACUGUCAGUGCAAAAAAUAAAUAAAUUCAAAAAGAACUUCUUGCUCUUUUUUUUUUUUUUUGGGAAAUUUUAAGGGUACCAAGAAUGAGUGGUCCGGAGCAGGCAAUGUUGGGUUACAUGGGCCUCAACUGACACAAGGUAUUGAACCUAAAAUUUUAGUGGGCUAAACUCGAUUCACAAAGACUGAUCCCAACUCUGGAGGGGCCCGAUCUUGAAGCAUAUCUUGCGUGCUUAAAAAGAACGAGGGCUCCGGUUCCACAAUACACAUAGAAUUGCAGUUUUAAUAUUUAAAGUUGAAAAGAAAAAUUUUUUUGUUCUUGCGGUCAUGCAGGACUCGAUUUUCAGACGAUUCACUCUAAAUUGGAUAUACCAUUAAAUACCGAGUUCUAAAAAAAGAUCCAAAAUAAUUUUGAUGAUUAGAUGUUAGACUACAAAAUUGGAUAUUAUUUAAUUUUUUGCGUAUCAAAAUGAUCUCACAAUUGCGAAUUUAUGGUACUCAUAUUAACCCAAAAAAAAAAUCUUAAUAGGUGUUUAUACUUUGAGUUUUUUUUUUUUUUUUUUAACUAACGAUAACAUAUUUAUAUAUUGAACUUGAAAACACAAGAUAUCAGUUACAAAAGAGGACAGUUGUCCUAUUAUUCUCCUUCAUGUAUACUUUCUUUAAGCCACGAGAGAAAACUAUAUCAAUUGAGGGUGACUCCUCCUUGCAUCCCCUUUGGAUUCUUUCAAUGACAGCUUUGCAAUCAGACUCCACCUCAAUUCUUUGCCACCUUGCAUUUUUUGGCCAUAGCCAAUCCCUGCCGGAUUUGCAUUUGCUCCUUCUAAUUCAGCUUCACGCUUGCUGUUUUUUCUUAUACCUCUAACUUCAAUGAGGCUUCCAUGUUUGUCUCUUGCUAUCAAUCCCAAACCUGCUCCAGCCAAUGUUGCAGAUACAGCCGCAUCAGUGUUGAUCAUCACUUUUCCUUCAUCUGGUGGUUGUACACCUGGUGACUUAUUCCUGUCCUGUGCUUUUCAUCAUUGUCUAGUUGUUCUUCUUGAAACUCCAGCCACUCUUUUCUUUGCAUGAUCUAAGAUUGACUUAUGAUUGCUUCAUUUUCCCUCGAACUGCCAUGCAUUUCUGCCCUUCCAUCUUAUUUUAGUUGGGACUCCACCCUUUGUUCUACAUCUUCCCUCGCUCCCUCCCACCCCCAACCCAAACUUAUGAAAAGGUUAUUGAAUGAGUGGGGUUUGUUUGGAUAUCAUCUUAUUUGUUAAAAAAAAAAAAAAAGGACCAAUCUCAAGGCAAACAUCCAAGGGAAGAAACCAUGAAUUCUUUUGGAGAAUGCCAUGCAACGAGGUCUGAUGAAGAAGGGUUUGGAGGGGUACAUGGAGAAAAUCAUGAACUUUCCAAAAAUGAUGAAGAGAAGAUUGUUCAAGCAAAAGUCCCUGAAUGUGAUACUAACCAAGGAAGUAAAGUGAAAGAGAAGGAAAAAGGUCGCCACCAGAAGGAGGCUACACGCUGAAAAAGAAUCAUUUCAUGACUCUGUUGAAGUGUUGGUCAAUUAUCUGUUCUUUUAUGCGUACUGACUACCACGUUCAACCACAUCUGGCUAAGAAUACUAGCAUGUAGGAUUUGAUUCCGAAGCUUUUCUAAGAUGACCUCAAGGAUUCAUUUGAAAAGCUUUGAAUGCACCUUUUAUUGAUGUUCAUUUUCCAUUUCAACUUAGAAAUGAGACCAUUUUUGGCAAUAAAGGGCUGGGUGGUGUUUAUCUUUCAUCUCUUUCAUUUUAACUAGUAUAGUUGCAGAUUGGAACUCCAAAUUGUCUACAGAUAUUUGACUUGUAUUCUGAUCUCAGUGUGAAAACAAUCAAAUUAUACAGACAUCAGGUCCAAUAUCAAACAUAAGAGCGAUGAUAGGGAAAAGAUGGCGGCAUAUUGAGAUUGGGAAGCCAGUAUCCAGUGCAAUAUGAUAGUAGUAAGUGAGCUAAUGAUCCACAGACUAGACUUUGAUUACAGUAGUGAGAUUUAUCACUAGUUUGCAAUAUAAUAGACAAAAGGAACGCAACAAAGAUCCAAAGAUUUGAGAUGUUAAAUAAGGAUCAAAUCUGAACAGAAACCUGGGACAAAUAGACGAGUAAAGAAACAUAGUUCCAAUGGGCAUCUGUUUAGGCACAAAAUGCUUUUGCUUAGCAUUCUUCCCAGCAAACUAGAAGCUCAAAAAACCAAGUGCAAAUUCAAGAAUUGGCCCAAGAAUCAUUACGCAGUUCGAAUUAUAACAGGAAAAAAAUAAAGAGUGAGAGCAAAAUAUUCAAUACAUGAGAAAAGAAGCCAGAACCUGCAUCUGAAUUUUUGCCUCCUUAUCCUCUGGAUUGAAAAUAUGAAAGGAAUGGUCCUUUCCUUCCACUUCCAACAGUUCUAUUUCACCUUUCCAUCCACUUUCCUUCACAGCAUCUACAUAAAGAAUUCCGCCAUUUCUAAGAAUGUCUUUCUCAGCCACAUUGACCAACAACCUUGAACAUCCUAGUCUAGCCAAACUAGGUGCACCAUCAGCCAAAGGGUUUAUCAUUGGAUUAUCAAUUCCUCUUUGAGCAGAUGGAUAAGCAAACAUCCAUAUCUCAGUUGCCAAAGUCUCCACCCUGGGAUUGCCACAACCCUUAGACGCUAAAUUUGAGCUCCAAAAAUAUGGCUGAGUAAGAAAUGCACCCAGGAUCUUGACAUCCCCGUAUAAGCUUUCAGCACCAGCUCUCAAAACAACAUUGUGCACUAUAUUUGCACCAGCACUAUCCCCUCCUACAUAGAGUUUAUUGAAGUUUCCAUGGCUAACUAGCCAUGGUUCUCUUUCCAUGCUCGAAUUGUCAAUGUGAGAAGCCACCCAUUGAAGGGCAGCCCAACAGUCUUCAUAUGCUGCAGGCAAAGGGUGUUCUGGGGCAAGUCUAUAUUCGACUGAAACAGCUACUACUUUGGCUUGGGAGACUAGGAGGUUUAUAUGACGUUGAUGGUCAAAGGAGAAGGCCGAUUCAAUGCAAAAGCCUCCGCCAUGGAUGUACACUAAAAUUGGGAGCCUUUGGUUGGGAUCAGUGAUCUUUGGGAGGUAUAGCCUAGCUGAGACUUCUGGUGAGAUUGUGAUGUCUUUGGAGGAAACACCUGUGAUGGGAUCUUCUGGUGAUGGUGGAACAUAUUGUGAGCCAAAAAGUCUCUCUACUUUGCCAUCUUUAUAGACUCUGAUUACUGGAAAGAGAUCUGUGACAAUAUGACUAGAAUUGGAAACCAUGAGAUUACAGUGUUAUCUUAUUCUUCAGGGGAAUCAGGGGAAAGGGUGUCAACAAUGGUACUUAUUUCCAUUAGUCCAUAUCAGUUACUACUGUAUAUUACUAAUUAGUAGGAAGGAGAUAGAGAAUUGGACAAAGAGGUUCACAUCAACGGUCCCAACUCCUAAGUUGAGGAACCGGCUCUUGUUUGAUUCAAUUAGCAUCUUCUUUCUCCCUGUAAUUGCCGAAUCUUGGAAAACCGUUCUUAGCAGUAUUAUAUGCUGAUAAAUUUGUCUCAUAGAUCAAUGAAUCUCGGAAUUAAAUAAACAUCGAAUGCAAGAGUUAAAUUCUAGAAACGGCACAUGAAUAAAAAAAAAAAAAAAAGCAAUGAUCCUCUCAGUUAUUAUUAAUAAAAAAGGAACGAACAAAAGCAAAACAACAUCAGUUAUUAUUAAUAAAAAAGGCUAAACGCUUUACAAGGCUCUUGGCUUUCUCAGACUCGAGGUGGAAGAUGUGAAAGCAGUGAUCCUCUCCUUCAAUCUCAACCAGCUCCACUUGACCUUUCCAACCACUUUUCGUCAAAGUCUGAACAUAAAGACCUGUUCUUUCUCUCAACUCAUCCUUCUCAGAAGUGCACACAAAUAACCUCGAACACCCUAGUUGGGAUAAGCUAGGUGCAUCAUCAGCUAAGGGAUUUAUCAUUGGAUUGUCAAGUCCACCUGGAGGUGCUGGAUAAACAAGCUUCCAAACUCUAUACAGCAUAGUUUCUUCAACAUUUUCUGCCUUAAUUUCUGGAUCCCAGAAGAAAGGGUGAGACAGAAAUCCACCCAAGAUUUUCACAUCCCCAUCUAAGCUCUCAACCCCAGCUCUCAUGGCUAUGUUAUGAACUAUGUUGGCACCAGAACUGUCACCCCCUAUAUAAACUUCAUCAAAGUUUCCAUGGCUCAGCAGCCAAUGUUCCUUAUCCGUGUCGGAGUUGACAACAACAUGGGAAGAGAUCCACUGAAGGGCAGCCCAGCAAUCUUCAUAAGCUGCUGGUAGAGGGCAUUCUGGAGCUAGUCUAUACUCAACAGAAACAGCCAGUGCAUUGGCCUCAGAGACUAGUAGGUUGAGAUAACGAUGAUGGAGAAUGGAAAAGGCUGAUUCAGUACAGAAGCCUCCACAGUGGAAGUAGACUAAAAUGGGGAACUUCUUGCUCGAGUCUUGGACAUUUGGAAGGUAGAGUCUAGCUGAAAAGUCUGCUGAAAUGGUGAUGUCUUUCGAUGAUACACUAGUGGAUGGAUCUUUUGGUGAUGGUGGAACGUAUGGUGAACCAAAGAAUCUCUCCACUCUGCCAUCUUCGUAUACCUUAAGGAGUGGAGAAAGAUCAGUUGCAACCUCUUUUGAAUCCGAAGCCAUGGAAAGAACUGGAAAUUGUCUCUCUUGUUUUACCAGUGCUUAGUUUAGAUGGUGAAAUAGAACUUAACAUCAUUGUUUUUUAUAAAACUUCAUUUAUAUUUACUUGGUGAUACAGAAGUCGUCAGAAAGCGCGAAGAGAUAAUGUAUUUUAAUGUGGACAAGAUAUAUAAGAAAUUCUUUUCUGAUGUGAUUUUCCACUUCUGGUUGACCAAUGUUUAGGCACGGAUAAUUGGUGGAUACACGAUCCAUGCCCUUCUUUGACUUGUGCAUGAUUGUCAACAAUAAUUUAGCAGAAGCCAAAACUAGGAGAACAAGUCAAAAGAAAAAGAGGUACGCAAAUCAGGAAAAACAGACACAGAUAUGUAAUGUAAAGCAUAAACCAAACUUAAUCCCUGAUGAAGGAAGCCAAACGGGUAAUCAGACUCUUUGAUUUCUCAGUCUCAGGGUUGAAGACCUCAAAACAAUGAUCUUCUCCAUCAACAUCGACAAGCUCCAGUUCUCCUUUCCAACCAUUUUUCUUCAAUGCCUCGACGUAAAGAAGAUUGAUUUCUCUGAACUGAUCCUUCUGAGAAGUACAAACAAACAACCUGGAACAAGCGAGCCCGGAUAAUUUGGGUGCACCAUCAGCUAAUGGAUUGAUCAUUGGAUUAUCAAUCCCACCUGGCGCCAAGGGAUAAGCAAACAUAAAGACCUUGUAAGGCAUGCUUUCUUCAUUAUUUUCUUUCUUGGUUGUUGAAUCCCAAAAGUAAGGAUGAGACAAAAAUCCACCCAAGAUUUUCACAUCACCAACCAAGCUCUCAACUCCAGCUCGAAUAGCCAUGUUAUGCGCUAUAUUUCCACCAGCACUGUUACCCCCCACAUAAAUCUUGUUAAAAUCGCCAUGUUUGACCAACCAAGGCUCUUUCUCAAUGCAGGAGCCCUCAACAACAUGUGAGGCCACCCAUUGAAGGGCAGCCCAGCCAUCUUCUAACGCUGCUGGUAAAGGGUGCUCAGGGGCCAGCCUAUACUCCACAGAAACAGCAACAGCUCUGGCUUCAGAUACUAAUACGUUGACAAAACGAUGGUGGAGAGAAGAGAAGGCUGAUUCGACAACGAAGCGUCCACCAUGGAAGAAGACUAAGAUGGGGAGCUUGUGGUUGGGGUCAGAGAUCUUAGGAAGGUACAUUCUAGCUGAAAUGCUUGGUGAAAUAGUGAUGUCUUUGGAAGAAACACCGGUGGUUGGAUCAUCUAGCGACGGUGGUACAAAUGGCGAGCCAGAGAGUCUCUCCACCGUCCCAUCUUUGUAGACUUUGAUGGCCGGAGAAAGAUCGACCAUGACCCCUUUGGAAUCUGAGUUAGCCAUGGAGAUUUGAAAUUAUCUUCUUCCUUUGUAGGUGUGUGAAAGUGUGGGCUUCACUUGGUGCAUUGAAAUGAGAACAAGUUGAAUUAAUAAUUUAAUACUCCAUAUAUAUAGGUGCACAGAAAUGGAGAGGAAGAGAAAUCGGUAAAGGCAUUGAAUAUAGCUUAAAGAUAAGAAACCGUCCGUUCCGUCCAUUCUGGAAUUGUAGCAACGCUUCUUUUUUUUUUUUGUGGUGUUGAAACAUCAGAGUACAAGAAGGAUAAGAAACUAAUAAUCAGAUGAUGGUUAAUUUUACCAUUGCAAAAGAGGUAAUUGUGGACUGAUAGAUGUCCAUAGGAUGUUAGUUGCCUCGGACAAUUAUUGAUGGAUGGCUGCUGUUCCUUUGUUUUUUCUUCUACGGUGGUCCAACUUAGCGGCUUUUCUUGCCAGAGCUGUAAAUUUUCUCGGACGAUUAUCUUCAAUUGUCCGUAUAUGCAUCUUCAAUUGCUAGCUGUCUCAAAUCCGUAUAUGCAUCAUAAAGAGAAACUUAAAAAUCUUCUCUCUCUCUAUUUUUUUGCUUAUUAGCACUCCUGAUGGACUGAAUCACAAAAUUUAUCUUUUGGCUAAGUUCUAUACACAUAUAUAUAUAUAUAUAGUAAAUAUUUUUUAUACUGACAGUAUAUACACAGUCAGCGUUGAAUAAAUGACAAUUAUAUAAAAUUUGAAUUUAAAAUUCAAUUUUUACACAUAUGUCAUAAAUCCAACAGUAAUAUUAUAUGCACUGUCAGUGUAUAUAAGAUAUAUAUAUAUAUAUAUCAUAAUUUCUGGACAAGUAAGGGGUACUGUCAAUUAGGCAUGUAAUACAAUAUAGAAAAACAUUUCCAAUACCAGAACUCUUUAUUUUUAUUUUUAUUUUUUGAGUGUAAAACAGAUACUACAUUGAUUGGAAAAAAAAAAAUUUUUUAAUUGAAGCACACACAGACCAAAAUAUAUAGAGGGACAAAAACGUUUUACUAUAUGCAUUACUUACUGUGAAGAAGAUGGCAUUUAGAUAUUCAUGGCCACUGUUUAACUGUUGGAAUCCUUGAUGGAAUCCUUUGUAUUUAUGGUUAAGGUUAGAAUUUUCUGCUGACAAGAGUAAGAACGGCAACUUUGACUACGGGAUUAGACUCCAAUGACUAGUAACUACAACUUUUCUAGGCUUCUUUUGGCUGAAGUUCUAAAAUGAGAUUACGUCGGUGAACCGAAAUGAUUCAUAUGAAAAUCAGAUUGCUGGCUACCCCUUUGGCUGUUUUGAACUCCGCCAGUUGAAAGGUAGUUGGGCUCGAGACCUGUUAAAUUGGUAUCCAUUGGAACAUUAAUGGCAUAUCUUGCUUACCAACAAACUUGGUAGAAGGGUUGGCAAGACUCCACCCUGAAACUUUUGGAUAGUCAUUAUUUUACCCCCUUCAACCUUAAAUAUAUCCGCUUUACCUCCCAUGUAAACUGAAUGCAACGAUAUUAUUGUUCUUUUAUUCAUGAAAUUAUCUACAAGAUAAUAUAAUGGGUUAACUUGGUUGGGGGAAUAAAAGUUUAGGAGCCAGAUGGGUAAUUUGCUGAAUUCUGAUUACCUGUUCCGUCUUAGACGGGGGCCAUGGGGCACUGUGGUCAUCUUUUUUUUUUUUUUUUUUGAAAAGUAAACCUCCAUUCAUUGCAAAUCGACAAGAGCAGCAUCCACAACAGAACAGACUUGGGGAAGUUUACAAACCAGACUCUACUUCCCUCAAGAGACAACGAUACCUUUGACAUGAUGUGGGCGGGAACAUUAUCGGUCCUCCUCACAUGACUGACCUUGACAGAAUCAAAAGAUCUUAUGCCAUGGAUUAGGUUACCUAUCAAUGACAAAUCAGGUUCCUUGCUGUUGAUCCUUCGUACAAUAUUUAGAGCAUCCCCUUCGAGUAAGAAGUGCGAGAUGCCAAAGUCUCUUGCAAAAACUCCAAAGCUAUGAGGAAAGCCGUGCAUUCUACGUGUUCAGCAUUGCGGGCUCCUUCGACCCUUGCAGCCUCUACUUGACCCAAGUGAUUCCUCACCACCACACCAACACCAGCUGCUUCUUCAUCGAAAGCUCCAUCGACGUUAAUUUUUAGACAACCCUCUUCUGGUGCUACCCAUUUGGUGUGUUCCUUAUAAUGACGUGUUUCUCGCCUCUUAUGGGCCUGCCAGUACUCUUGCAGGAAAGCCUCAGCGUAAUAGGGCACUGUGGUCAUCUUAUCUUAGAUCUUCUAUUUGUGAAGUUCUUUUUCUUUUUUGGUAAUAUUUGUGAAGUUGGAUGGAAGUUACUAAGAACGAGGUUUUGUAAUUUGGUCAAACACAAUAUAAUUAAUCCUUGCAUGGGCUCCAGUUUGGCUGUAAGCAUCCCAAAAACCAGCAAAAAUAACGACACCAAUUCCAUAUCUCACCCAAUUCCCACGACCCAACAAAUGGCAAUAGACGCAAAGGAGGAAAUUAAAAAUAAGGAUUAAUUGCAGUUUGACCUCUUGAACUUGACCUUUUACAACACUUUGCCCCCUAAACUUUAAAUAUAUAUACUUUAACCUCUUCAUUGACUAAUCAAAUAUUAAUGAUAAAUUCUUUAUCCAAAAUUUUAACAAAAUAAUAGUAAUACCCUUACAUAAUAGUUCUAGAAUAAUGCUAUACUUUUAAUCGAAAUAUGAAACAUUUUAUUAGAAAAAACACAAUCACAUGUUUUAAAAAAUAAAAGAUGGUAUAAUACCAAAGAAUUUAAAAAAUUGUAUUAUAGAGAAAAAAAUAAUUUAAAAUUUUCUAAAAUAUCUACACAAGUUUUCCAUCGCUUAUCUUUCUUCCUUUAAAUUAUAAACGGAUUAGUUUUGAUAAUUCUCAUUUACUUUGUGACUGUCACAUGAUUUUCAUGAGUCAAUAAGAUGCUAUUUGGUAAUUUUAUAUCACAUUCAUACCUUUCUUUGUAUUUUGUUUGCAUUCUACAUUUUGAAAAAAAUUGAAUAUUCCCUAAUACAUUUUGAAUACAUUUUUACUUUUAAUCAUAUUUUUAUCUCAUAUAAAACACAUUAAAGUGCUAUAAUAAAAAAAUAUAAGUAAAUAAUUUUCAUUCCAAAUACACUAAUUAAUUUUAUUUCAUUUAAAAUUAGUAUUGCUAGCAACAUUAAGAUAAAUACAUUGAGUUGCUUAGACCUUUUUUUGUGAAUUAUCUAAUUCAUUUUAAGGCUAAAAAAUCGAAAUGCAUAGUAUAAUUGUGUUUAGAUACAUUUAGCAACUAUUAAAGAAAUAGGUAUUUAUUAUAUUAUAAUUAUUAUGUGUGUUUAAGAAUUAGCCAAGAAUAUUUUGGUCGUGAAAAAUAUACCUUCACGUUAACUCUGUCAAAAAUUGACCAUGAGGGGUAAAAUGUAUAUAUUUGGAGUUUAGGGGGCAAAAUAUUAUAAGGGCCCAAGCUUCGGUGGGCAAAGUGCAAUUAACCCGAAAAAUAAAGCCAACAUGCCGGCCCCUGCCCCCGGCUCGUAGUCCCUUCCCUCCCUAACCUCCCUUAUUACCUCCGUCCAAAAAUCCAACCUUUCAGACCCUGAUUCUUCGAUCCUUCCUCCUCCCGCGUCCUUGUAACUCAUUCCUUCGUGCGUCAUGAGGCCCCAGCAGCUGCUAAAGCUGCCUGACCUUAGUUGAUCCCCAUCACUAUUAUUCCUGGUGCUACGUUAUACAGUUAUACUAGUACUUAUUCUUUUCUCUUCACCAACUUCACCCCUUGCUCUUUCUCGCUAUUGCUGCUAUUCUUUUCUUGCACAGCUCAUCCAACGACUCAUUCAACUUCAACUCCUCCACUAAAUGUAACAUUAAUCACUCGGACCCGUCAAACUCGUAUUCCUUUUCUCAAAAAUUCCAAUUUUUUCAUGUAUACCUUGGCCUUAGCCACCAAAAUCAUCAUCAACCAUGAAAUUCCUUUUCCCCUUCCUCCUCCUUUUCCUGUCUCUCAUCCCUUCUCUUACCUUCUCUGAAUCCCUUAGAGGUAAAACCCCAUUUGCAUGAUCACAUCAUCUCUCCGCUUGUUUUUCCAUCUUUGUAUUAAAUUGAUUGAGAAAGUUUUCAACUGCGUGGUUUCUCUGUUUUAAAAAAAAAUUAAAGACAAAGUUUUCAAACCUGUUGCUUUUUUUUUUUGGCUGGGGGGGAGGGGGGUGCGGAGGGGAGAGGAGGGCUGAUUGCAGUUGAAGUUUUUGAAAUUUGUGGGUUGUUUUUUUGUUGAAUUUAAGCCAAAGUUUCUAAAUUUCUGGGUUGUCUUUCUUUUUCUUUUACAUUUGGGAGGAGGGGACGGGGUUGGGGAAUUGAAUACAAAAUUGUAGCUUUGCGAGCUAUUUCUUUUGUUGCUGAAGAUGAUAUUUAUCGUGCGGACUUUUUCAUUUUUCAGGUACAUUUAUCGAUUGUGGAGCAACAAGCCCAACAGUGAUCAACGGCCAGCAAUGGGUUCCAGACAAUGAUUUCAUUACUGUAGGCACACCGAAGAAUCUAUCCACUCAAUAUGAAGACUUAACCCUAUCAACUGUCCGUACAUUUCCAGUCCAAAACAAUAUUUACAAGAAAUUCUGCUAUGAUAUUCCUGCUUUCAGAACUGGUAAAUACUUGGUGAGGACUACAUAUUUUUAUGGGGGAGUAAAUGGGAAUGCCAAUCCUCCUGUAUUUGAUCAGGUAGUGGAUGGGACCAUUUGGAGUAUUGUGAAUACAACUGAGGAUUAUGGACAGAAGAAGGCUUCAAUUUAUGAGGGGAUUUUUGUGGCUGCAGGGAAAGCUAUAAGUGUUUGUUUGGCAGCCAACAAUUAUACUGAUUCAGACCCUUUUAUAUCUGCAUUAGAGGUUGUAGUCUUGGCUAAUUCGUUGUAUAAUUCUACGGAUUUUGGUACUUAUGGUUUGAAAUUGGUGGCAAGGCACAGUUUUGGAUACAAUGGACCACUCAUAAGGUGAGUAGCAUCAAUGCUACACCUUUUUAUAUACAGCUUUUGUCUUCGUCGUAUAUAUUAAGUCUUGCCAGAAUCAUAUUGAGGUCCUUUAGAUUUUGCAUUAUGGAUAAAUUUUGAUGUUCAAAUUUGCUUGAAUAUCGACCUGCUUAAUGUGAAAUCUAUGUGAAAUUUUGAUGUUAAUGUGAAAUUUUGAUUUUCUUUGUCCGGUUCCCAGAAAAAAGGCUUUGGGUUAAAGGACAUUUUCCCUUUACCCAUUUUUCUGUUUAUUACAUUUUUUCCAAUAAAAGCUGCUAAAUAUAGUUUUUCUGUCUUUUGCUGAUUUUACAAUCAAACUAGUGUUACUUCACAAUUCUUUCUUCUUUUUUUUUGUUCAUUUUUUGAGUGGCUAGCAGCUUUAAUGCUUCAGUUGAUUCCUUCAAGUAAAUGCAAAAGAAAUAUCAUCGACUUUAGUAUUUGGUAUGCAUAUUGUUGAUGUGCUGACAUAAGCAUUAGAAUAUGGCAGGUAUCCUGAUGAUCAAUUUGAUCGGUAUUGGCAGCCAUUUGGAGAAGAUAAUUCCACCACACCAUCUUCCAGGAAUGUCUCUGUAUCUGGUUUCUGGAAUAUACCACCACUUAAAGUAUUCCAGACGCAUCUAGGAACCAAUCAACCAGAACCCUUGGAGUUACCGUGGCCUUCAACGUCUCUCCCAAACUCAAUCUAUUAUAUUGCUCUUUAUUUCGCUGAUGAUCGUGUUUCUCCUUCGGCGAGCCCAAGAGUGUUUAACAUAACUGUUAAUGGCAUUAUGUAUUAUGCGAAUCUGGCUGUGACUGAAGCCGGUGAAGCUGUAUUUGCAAACCAGUGGCCUCUUGCUGGCUUAACAAAUAUAACUUUGACUCCAGCUACUGGCUCGGCAAUUGGUCCUCUAAUCAAUGCUGGAGAGGUUUUUGAAGUUCUGAAUCUUGGUGGAAGAACUCUUACAAGAGAUGGUUUGGCUCCUAACUAUGAGUUAUUAUUCUUGCCUUAAAGGAAAUAAACAGCUAAUAACCUGUAACCAUUUGUCUAAUUUCUUUUCAUGCAUUCUAGCUGCUCAAUGGGAUACAUUUUGGUUGAGUCAAUUUCAAAGAGAUUAUCUUUGGGGGCUUAGCAAACUAAUGAAAUUCUUGAUGAUAUUUUUAAUUUAUUUAUUCAUUUAAAUGACUUUAAUUUUUGCUCACGUAGAAUCUACCCAUCAGAAAGUUAUUUUCUUGUAUUCCUUUUUUAAUCCUGUGGAAGCAAAGGGUGGAGUGGAAAGAAGAAAUGGGAAGGAGGGGGAAAGGGGGAAUGCUGAUGUUCAGAUUUGAUCUAAUUGUUCUAAGAUGAAGCAAUCUGCUAUGUGGCAGCUAGCUUAAUAUUAUUACGAGAUUGUCAACCUGCAGAGUUGACUUUCUUCUCAGUGCUAGAAAAUGGUGGCUGGUUAUAUGGUUCUCAUUUUGUUUUCAAGAAGUUUGCUCUUCUUCUUUCUCUAGAUUGAGCACUUUGUGUAUCUCUAAAUGAUGUAAAUUUGUAUUUUGCAGUAAUUGCUAUGGAAAGAAUAAAGGCGAGCAUUAAGAACCCUCCACUUGAUUGGAACGGUGAUCCAUGUUUACCACGUCAAUACUCUUGGACUGGAGUUUCAUGCUCAAAAGGUCCCAAAGUUCGAGUUACCACCUUGUAAGUUCAAACUUAAUAUGAAUAAAAAUGGCAGACUCAACCUCAUAUCAUGCCUUAGUCUUUCAUCCUUAUUGUCAACAGAAACCUAACGAAUAUGGGCAUUUCGGGAUCUAUCUCACCAAACAUAUCCAGUUUAUCAGCAUUGUCUGGCAUGUAAGUGGUUUAUUCUUUUUGCACUAGGACAAAGAGAUUUAUGCUCUUUGCUAAACAAUCUCUUAAUGUUUGACAGAUUGCUUGGAAACAAUAGUUUGACAGGAUCUAUACCCAACCUUUCUUCACUGAAGAGACUGGAAAUUCUGUGAGUAGGAUCUCAUCUUCUUUCCUCACCUCUUUUUCAUCUGGUGAGAUAUUAUUUGCUGGAUUGAAGAGCAUGAUUUCUCAAGAAUUGAUAGAGUGAGGUAUUAAGGGUGUCUGGUAAAAUAUCCAAGACCAUAGUUUUCUUAGGUUCUCUUAUGCAGCUAGCAAUUUGCAGCUCUGAUAUAUAAAUUCUGUAACUUGAGGCUCUUUUGUUUUGAUGUCAGUGGUCUUGAUUUUUUCUUUCAAUCCUUCAAGAUAAUUUUCAAGAGUAGAUUUGCCUUUCAUACUUUAAGCAAUCUUCAUUAUGCUCUAGCUGUCUCCAAAAUCUGAUGGACCAAAUAUUUUAUUUCAGGCAUCUGGAGGACAAUAAGCUCAGUGGAGAGAUUCCCUCAUCACUUGGAAACAUUCAAAAUUUGCAUGAACUGUGAGUUCUAUGCUUAUCAUGCUUAGGGCUCAGAUUUCUUUCACAUGUAGAUGGAUAUUCACUUCUCUGCCUUGUUUGUGCAUUAUAUGCCAUGUGAACAAUCGCCUGAUGCACACUCAUGCAUGCAUGUGUCUUGAUAUAUUCAUCCUACCUUGAAGACCUCCUAUAAAUCCUCUACCAGGUUACUGAUGUUGAACUAGUUUACCCCUAGCAAUCAUGGCUGAUGCCAUUCCAAUUGCAUAGUCAGGGAAAAUCUAGAUGCUAGGUAGGUAAACCCUUUUAGUCAUUAGAUGGCAACGAACCAGAACGCUGUGUUUAAAAGUUGUUUCUAAUGAAUCACCACAAUAUUUAGAAGAUUAGGUUGCUAGGAAAUAGGUUAAUUUAACUACAUGAGCUUGAAUAUUCAUUAGCAUAAGGUUUAUACAUAUUCUUUGUACAAGAUUGUUUAACCUUAUAGUAUCAUUUAGACUAGGGUUUUUUCUUUGCUUUUGACUGGUAGAUGGGUCAUUGUCAUUUGUCCUGGUAGUUUUAAAUGGAUUAAUAGUGUCGACAAUAUGUUUUAGAUGCUUAAGUGCGAGAUCGUGAAACAGAAGCUUAUGUUAUGAAAUAUAUGUUUCAACUACAUUGUAUGGGCCAUAUAUACACUUUUCUUCAGACUUUUGUCACGGCAGCUAAAUGGUAGUUUCUCUGUUAGACUUACAAAAGAAGUAAAAUACUAAACCUUCAUACUAGCUAGACCUUUAGAAACGUGUUAGAGUUGGGGGCUUCAAAUUUUCCAUUAAUACUAUUGAGAAAGUGCUGCAUGAGAAAAUAGAGCAAGAAGCCCCCCUUAAUUUGCUUGUAGUUCCUGCAACUUUCAGAUACCCUAUCAUUGUAUAGUUACACAUAUCUUGUGCAACAUCUCGGGUUAUCGAUGGUAGCUUCACAAUUACCAAUGGUAUUCUAGAAGGCAACUCUUUCAUCAACAAAGGCAGGCUCAUUAGUGAUCAAAGAAAACAUGCAUCAUGAAACAUUUUUUGGUUGUGACUAGUGACAAUAAGACCAUUUGACUGUAACAGUUCUUCUGUUAUAGUGGAAAAAUGGGAAACUAGAACUACUUAUGCCUUCCAGCUUUGGCUUUCAAGUACCUGUGAAUGCUUAUCAUUUCUAUCUGAAGAUAAUUUUGUUCCUUUUAUCUGCUUAUUUACAUACAGGAAAUAAUACCUACAUUUGGGGAGCAUUAUACUAUAUGCAGAUCAAACAUUAAUUUUGCAUUCUCGUGUUCCACUGUCAGUAUUGUGACUUACUCAUUGGAUGGCCAUGACAUCUUAGGAGUUAAAUUUAACCACACUAUUUACACAUAUAUGGUUGUAACAAAGGAAAGAAGGUUCUCCUGAGACAUUUCCUUUUUGAUGCAAAUGUGCUGCAAUGCUUAUCUCCGAUUAGCUUGUCUGUCAUGGUGUAAAGAAGUGCUAGCCUAUAAAAUUGUACUUUAUUUACUCUUAUCAUAUUUUGUUGUACUCUUCAAAUUCAUAUGAGGAGCUUUUGUUACUAGAGUUAGUGUUGUUAGCGUGAUGCAUACUUGGUACUCGAGUUGCUUCUGCAUAUAUUAACUAUUGAUUAAGACUUAAAUAAUGUCUGAAGAUCCAGUGGUAUUUUGACUUAUUACUGGUGGAGGGAACAAAACGCUUGAAUUUUUAUGAGGCUGUUUCCAUAAUCUAGACUUACUGUACUCAUCAAAAAAUGAAUAAUUAUAUCGACUCUUUUUAAGCGGAGAGCAGGUUAAAGAUUAUGACCUUUCAUCCACUUAAUUUCUGUGGUAUUUGUGCGUGGCAGCUUCUUGCAAAAUAAUAAUCUGACUGGAACAGUACCAAGCAACCUUGUUGGGAAGUCUGGGCUGAACCUUAAGUAAGUCACCAUUUCCUUGUAUAUUUUUCUAUUAUAUUCUUGAUUGAACUUGGGUUAGGUGUUUAGUUCUUUAAUUAAACUUUCUUUUUCUUCUCAGGGUUUCCGGCAAUCCAUUUUUGCCACCACCUGCUUCAUAAGAGCCCAAGCGAAUGUAUCUUCUUAUGGUCCAACAACCAAGACUGUACCGGCAUUUUCUAAAAGCUGCCCGUUUCCUGUUAUUUAUUGUUGGUAUAUAGAGGUUGCCAUAAAUCAGUCACCAUGGAAACUUGGGUGUACAAAUUUGUGAUCGACCUUUCUGCUUCAUUCAGUAAAACGAACACUUGCGUGUCUAUGUCUUGCAUAUGGGAUCCUGUUUGUGGACUAUUCUCACAGUACUGAACAUCUUUUUUUUUUUGGGAAAUGCUGCUUGUAUAUGGGAUUAUACAGAUCAGAGGUAGCGCUGACGCAUUUUUUUUUUUUCGGUAUGAUGACACCAAUUUGUGUCAAUCCGCAUUCUUGAAGGAAAUGGAAUUUGCACAGUUGUAAUCUGAAUCAAAUACUCUGUAAUUAAUUUUUCUGAAAUUGUUGUGACGUUAGUUAGUAGCAUCUUUGUAUGGUAUUUGAAUUUUUAUUAGCUUUCUGUGAAGAUUUUGAUAUCGUUCUUGGUCUUGAUUCAUUUGCUAUGGAAACAAAAGAUGCUUUGGUAAGACCAGUGCGGGAGCAAUGCUAAUGUUGGGCAUCUUUGCAGAAGAGAGAGAAACUAAGAACAUCUUUUUCUGCAUUGAACUGGCCCAAGAGUUCAUAAAAGAAGACGGAUUAAAGAUUUAGUAUUCCUGAGUAGGCAACCUCUUAUCUUCUGCCAGCAAACGUAAUUAGUUCUAUUAUUGAAAUUAUUUUCAGGGCUAACUGCUAGACUAAUACUCUCGAUUAGAUUCCUGUUGACAUUUGAGGUAAAGCCGGAAAAUUAUCCCUCAGAAACAUCUUUAAAAAAAUUGGAAAUCUGGUAUUCUGUCUCUUCAGGAAGAAACUACAGAACGAAAGAAAGCAGAAAAAGAUGGAACUAAUUCAUAUUGCAUUGCACGAUAUUAAGUCAGCAUCUAGAAUAUAAUUCAACAGAUGCACUUGAAGAGAAAUUAGUCUAAACGUCACACAAGAUAGCAUACAAAAAUGAGAACAGAAAAAAAUAUUUCACUCUUUCUACAAGUCAACAACAAAAUAGUACUAUUCCUCUUCCCCGUUUUCUACCUCUCUAAUCUUCCUUUCCUGAUGGAAAACAGAGGAGGGAGUGCACUGUUCUUUCCCUGUGUGCAAAUUGGCACAUUAAUAACAGGUCUAACUCUUAAGCUAGCUGAUCUAGUCCUCUCCAACCCUUUCUUAAUCCUCUUCACAUGCUUCUGUCUAUUUACUGCACUUUCUUUGCUUCCAUCUGCUGGAUGCAUAUCAGCAAGAGAACCCGAAGAGGAGGAGGAAGAAGAGGAAGUAGAUGAAGAUGGUGACAAAGAUGAAGCCCGUUGUUUUUUCAACCUUAGUAGCUCUUUCCACAAAACAGUGCACUUAGGUGGCCUAGGAGACGGAUCAUCAUCAAGGAACCAGCUAAUUCUUGGCUCUUCUUUGUUGAUCACAUCUGCUUCAUCUCUUCCCUCUUCAGGUUGUUCAGUUUUAAGGCUCAACUUGUUAAGCUUUUCGGCAUGAUGCAUUUGCCAAAACGGGAGUAACUUGCCCUCAAAAAACAACUCGUCAGCAGUAAUCAUGGAAUCACUGGUUAAAUUGUUUGAGAGAAACUCAAAUUCUGCAUUACGCGUCUUCUCUUUAAUAUCUUUUGCCUUUUCACGCUCCUUUUCUGGGGGAGGUUUUGGACUAAUAGAUAUAAAAUUUCUGUCAUCAAGAAAAUCAGCAGAGAAAGAAAUUCUGGGGCUUGAGGUUGGCUCAAGGGCCGCGGAGGUCGCCUGAAAGGCUUCUAGAGAAACCAUAUUUAUGUUAGUUAACUGCUGCAGCAGAAAGAAGAGGGAGAACUAGAAGUGACUGAGUUAUGUUUAACUUGCAUGAGUUCGGGUGCUUUAUAAAGAGGAGGGGUGCUUGAAAAGGUUCUUUCGUAUAUUUAAUCCCAGGUUUUGUUUGUAAUUGCUGGUAAAUGUCUGGACGGUGAGAAUAUAAAAAACCAAUUGGUCUGGUUAAGUUGAAACAAUUGAGCUUUGGUUGUAUUUAGAAUAUGGGAACAGCACAUGGACACGCCUUUGGGAACUAAAAGACAAAAGCUCUCUGCAAUUGGCUAUUUACUGUACUUGUGGGUUGUGGCCUUCAUGGAUCUUUCUGGCUCCAGGAUUAGAUUUCAAGCAUUUUGGAUUUUAUACAGCUCCAGUUUGCCAUGCUUGUUACAUUUUUAAUUCUUUUCCAGAAGAUAAAAUUUUUAGCCUUUCAAGGACAGAAGUCCAUAUUUGCAGUGUACUGAUUUGUAUCCUCCAAAUCUUGCAAGCGUCCUUUUAUCAGAACAUGCAUACUUGGUCUUUAGCUGCAAGGUCUGGAAAAGUCCAUUAUCGGCCCUCAAAGUACAAAGAUUGGAUUAGGCUGAGUCAUUCACCUUCAUGGAUUUAAGAGAGAGAUAAGAGAGUCUAAAACAGGAUGUAAUUAUAGGGUUCUCUAUAGCAAUUAGCAAAUUGGCAAUAGAUUAGUGAUUUCAUCGGUCAAAGAAAGGUAAGCUUUAGUUCUUUGACCCUGCUUACAAAGAUCAUAAUAACGUGGGAGAAGUCCUAGGCAUGUGGGCACAUGAGCCUAAUUUGAUCCCCAUGUGAGUGUGCGGCUGUGUUUUCCCCCUUAAAUCAAAGCCAUUUUUUUUUGGUUGCCUACCACGGUAUCCAGGGCUCUGCCCUGACUAAUCCGUUGGUCGACCCGGGUCGCACACCUGGCUGUGGUGGGUGAGUCUCCCAACAAGGGUAGCUGCAUACGCCAGGUUUCGAACCCGAGACCUGCUUAAGCGGAACCAAGCUGCUUACCACUUGGCCCAACCCCAGUUGGUUAAAUCAAAGCCAUUAAGGAUAUCUACUGAUCAUAGAAUCUUCUCUUGGCAACUAUGCCCUCAAGAAAUGUUGUUCAGUUCUUCAAUGCUGCAUGGUGUUACUUCCAGACCUGGGGAUGGUAUUCUUGUCAGUUCGAAAUAUUUGCAAGUGGUAGAUAUCAUGUCCAGUUCUUGAAAAGCCUGCAUUAAGAUUUGAAGGGCUCUUAAUUAUUUAAUCAAGACAGCUAAUCAACAUAGAGUGAAUCCUGUUCAAGAUUUGUAUAAAUCAUGCAAUUACCUUUAUUCUUAGAGCCUAUAAAAUCACUCCUUAAUUUGAUAAUCAGAAGAAUUCAAAGACAUCACAGCAUAGGAUAAAAGCCUAUUAACCUAUAACAACAAACUGAGAAUCUCAUUUAUUCAAGUAGGCUGGUAAUGCUGGAUACAAUCAUCAUGUCGUGCAUUAGCAAUUUCUGGCAUUGUAACAUCAAUUAUGAAUCCAUUUUAGCCCUCUUGACACGUAUUAUUUAUUCUAUUAGGACGUGACAUUAGUCAUCCCUAAUCCGGAAUCAAUUGUAUUUGUUGGGAGGUCAAGGUUCAAUCCUUGCCUCCCAUCUUGCUACUUAACUGUGGCUUCCUCCGACGAGAAAAUUUCGUCGGCUUCCCCUCCCCUUAUACUAGACUAGAAUAGUUUAUACAAAUAUUAUCGUUGCGACCAAAAAAAAAAAAGAAACAUUGUGCAUCAGGAGAGGAUUCAGAUGCAACUCUUUUUGUAGGCCUCUUACAUCAAUAAUUUCUAGAAUCAACCACAUAAUAGGCCAUAGCAAGGAAAAUUGAUGGUUUUGACAGAAUUGUCCAGCACACGAAAGGCAACUAAUGUUGACAGCAAACUGCAGAUGAACAUGACAAACACCUGUGAGGUUAUACGAGCUUAGUACUUCGAUUCAGUGAAUUUAGUAAUGUACUUGGUUGCAGAUAAGGGACCACUUCUUCAUCAGGCUACUGAAAAUGUACCGCUAAUUCACAUUUGCAAUGUACACGGUUUUAAGAGGGACCAAUCGAUCCAGUAAAAAGUAAAGAACUCAAAUGUUUUUGGGAAAAUGUAGAGGUGUUUCUGAGAAUGUGAUUGUUUAUGGGACCAAUUACCUUUAUUCUUAGAGCCUAUAAAAUCACUCCUUAAUUUGAUAAUCAGAAGAAUUCAAAGACAUCACAGCAUAGGAUAAAAGCCUAUUAACCUAUAACAACAAACUGAGAAUCUCAUUUAUUCAAGUAGGCUGGUAAUGCUGGAUACAAUCAUCAUGUCGUGCAUUAGCAAUUUCUGGCAUUGUAACAUCAAUUAUGAAUCCAUUUUAGCCCUCUUGACACGUAUUAUUUAUUCUAUUAGGACGUGACAUUAGUCAUCCCUAAUCCGGAAUCAAUUGUAUUUGUUGGAAGGUCAAGGUUCAAUCCUUGCCUCCCAUCUUGCUACUUAACUGUGGCUUCCUCCGACGAGAAAAUUUCGUCGGCUUCCCCUCCCCUUAUACUAGACUAGAAUAGUUUAUACAAAUAUUAUCGUUGCGACCAAAAAAAAAAAAGAAACAUUGUGCAUCAGGAGAGGAUUCAGAUGCAACUCUUUUUGUAGGCCUCUUACAUCAAUAAUUUCUAGAAUCAACCACAUAAUAGGCCAUAGCAAGGAAAAUUGAUGGUUUUGACAGAAUUGUCCAGCACACGAAAGGCAACUAAUGUUGACAGCAAACUGCAGAUGAACAUGACAAACACCUGUGAGGUUAUACGAGCUUAGUACUUCGAUUCAGUGAAUUUAGUAAUGUACUUGGUUGCAGAUAAGGGACCACUUCUUCAUCAGGCUACUGAAAAUGUACCGCUAAUUCACAUUUGCAAUGUACACGGUUUUAAGAGGGACCAAUCGAUCCAGUAAAAAGUAAAGAACUCAAAUGUUUUUGGGAAAAUGUAGAGGUGUUUCUGAGAAUGUGAUUGUUUAUGGGAGGGAGGGGGGGGGGGGGCCAUUUUGCAUUUGAUUUUGGAGGAAAUUAUGGGAGUCUUGGGAGAGUUGAGAGCCUGGUUUUAGGCAAAGUCUAGCUGUUAACGUGAAGUCUUGAAAAUAAGCUUUUAGAUGCUUCUGCUGUCGUUCAAACUUCCAACAGCUGUUUAUGAUAGAGUUCGUAUAAUUUUAUCUACAGCCGUUCAGUUGUCUCUCUUAGUAUAUAUUGAGAUUCCCGUCCUGUGUUUGGGGUACCACAAUUGCUUAAACAGAGAGGAAGAAAAGGUUUAUUUGAGACGAAAUAAAGAAAGAGUUUUCAGUCUGAAGAAGGAACUUCGAGACAAUUAAAAACUGUCUGAAUUUAGCAAACAUGAAGGAUAACAUACUAGUAUGCUACUAAUGCUGAUGAAACGAAUGCAAGGAAAAUUUUCUUGAUUCUAUAAAAACCAACCAUAAAUUAGGAAUAAUUAUGGUGGAAUAUUCACAUCCAUGAUUAAAACAAAAAAUUCAUAUCCAAAGAAAAAAUAAUCAGCAUGUUCUAACUUUACUAAUACAAAUUGUUUGUAGAAAAAGAAAAAAUGUACAAGAAGUAAUCAGAAUUUAUUGAAAUUAUGUCAAAAUAUUCCCGUUUGGAUUGCAUUUUCCGUCAUUUUUCAUGGAAAAAUUACUGUAGCGAUUUGAUGUAUGUGAGGAAAAAAGCUAAUAGGGAAAUGUGUUCACGGAAAAUGACAAAAUUUUUCUAUGUAAAACAGCAAUCCAAGCAAGUCCGAUUUCAAUUGUUAAAAUUAAAUGAUUUCAUUGGAUUUCCUCCAUCGAUGUUAAUUCGAACAAAAGCAUGUCUAGACUCUGCCUAGUAAAUGACUUUGUCGGCAGAUCGAAGUUAGGAGAUCACACACAACGUAAAAAGCAUCCUAGAAUGAAAAAAACAAAAUAAAAUAAGCCGAUUUAUUUACUUCAAUGCUUUUUUUAAAAAAAAAAAAUGUGGGGCUAUAGUUUAAAUAUCUAUUUAACUGGUGUUUAUUAGGGGUGGCAAUUCCUGACACGACCCGAAAACACGACACGAACCUAACACGAAAUUAAUGGGUUUGGGUUGAGGUUUUGGGAGUUCGGGUCAGAAUCGGGUCGAACCCGAUAAACCCGAAAAGAAAACAGGUCAAUUUCGGGUCAACUCGUGGUGACCUGAUAUGACCCGAUGUGACCCGUUUACGAAUUAAAACUAAUUUAAUAAACAUAAAAAUUAUUUUAUCUAACUAAACUAAAUCAUUCUUUUUUUCCAAAGGCAUUAAUUACUUAAUCCUAAAUGAAUUUAUUUAACUUGUGUGAAGUUAAAAUUAUUAUAUUUGGACAAAUAAUAUAUUAUGUUAUUUUUUACUUUUAUGUUGUUUUAAUUUAUUUUAUAUUUGGUUUGGAAUAAAACACUUUUAUGGUGUUUAAUUUAUUUUAGAUUUGGUUUGAAAUUAUUUAUUUAAAUUUUUAUUACUUGAUGAUGUAAUUAAUUUUGUGAAAAAUUGAUUUUAUUAGAAAUUACAGUGAUAAAUUAAUAAAUUAAAAUUAAGUUUCGGGUCAUUUCGGGUCGACCCGCCAACCCGAAAUUUUCAGGUUCGUGUCAGGUACCAUGACCCGUUUCGGGUUGGCGGGUCGGGUUCAGGUCAGCAAGUUCUUUGUUAUACUUAGACCUCAACCCGACCCGCAACCCGAACCCGACCCGUUUGCCACCCCUAGUGUUUAUAUGCUCCAUUAGUUGCCCCAACUCUUGACAAUAUUAUUUUGUUUAUAAAAAAUUAUAAUAUUAUGACUUUAGUGGAAUGAUAUUAUGGCAUCAAUAGUAUCUCAAAAGCUCAAAAAGUAUUUUAACAAGUAUUAGAUCCAUGGUUUCAGCGUGAAUAAUAUUUUGAAAGACACUUUCAAAAGAAGAAGAGAAAAAUGGUACGAUGUGAACAAUUAGGAUUGCGGUUUAUUUGCCAAAAUAUAUUUGCUUACAUCAUCAUUACAAUUUUCAACACACCUUUUUAUCUUCCCAAUUACCUUUUUAUCUCACAUACAUCACAUCACAAAAAGUGCUACAGUAAAAAUAUCUCUAAUAAUUCACAAUCCAAACAAACCCGUUUGCCAAAAUAUUUUAGGACACGUGUUUGUAUAGGAUCGACUAGAUGUCAAAUAAAUAAGAGUUUAUAGGAAUUUGAAAAGACGUUUUCGAGAUAAGCUCCUUGAAACUAUAAAAUCAAUUUCAAAUGAGCUUUUAUUGAUUCGAAAUUAAGUAAUUUAAAUUUUGUACAUGAAAAUUUAAAAUUUUAAACUAAUUGAGCGAAACUCAAACCAAAAUUAAACUACACAGCAGGUAAAAUGCAGUUUAAAUAUCUAGUAGUUUAAUUCCUUUUCCACCUCUAACUUUAAUUGCUUAAUAGGAAUUGCUUUUGCUUCAGGUGAAACUUGAAAGCUUCUCCAUCAGCAGGUGUCCACCAUAGAAUCCAACCGUUAGCCCAAACAGUUGAAUUGGACGGGCUGCCCGGCUGUGACGGAUCAGAAGGUUUACAAAUUACAAGCACACCCGAAACUCAAAACUAGCCUCAUGAAGGCGGCUAAUCAGAUCAGACAUCGCAUGUUUGGAUUGACGUCUCGUGCUCUGCUCAGCAAUAAAUUCUUGGUAAACCUAUCAAAUCACUGCCAGAAUUGAUGAUGCUAUAUCUGUAGAUUAACCACACAAUUUCACGCAAACACCACUUGAUCCGUCUUUCCUUUUCUUCACAAAAGCAUCUAUAAUUAGGGUGUGAAUCGGAAUUAAAAUCAAUAAUUCGAAAUUUUGAAAUCGAAAUUUUGACAUCUGAAUUUUCAAUGAAAUUUUUUCACUUUACUUUUUUUGUUUCCAAAGUAACUCUCAUCAACUAACACUAGUUUGGGGUGAACCUUUUGGAGUAAUUCAUCAACUUGAUUAAAUCUAAAAUAAUAGCAUACUCUUAAUAUGAUCCCACUAUACAUACAAAUCCGCUGACUUUCUAUUUCAGCCAUCCGGCGAUCUUGAUCGAUUUGAAAACACCUAGAAUUCAUUUAACCAUAUAUCGUGUUUAUGCAGGCAUAAGAGUUCUUUCCUUUAUGUUCGGCAAAAAUUACAUGUUAUACCAUAUUCUACUAAAUAUAUGUCCGUGCUAUGAUACAAAUCUAAGUUUUGAAAAAAUGGAAGAUAUUGGGUCCCAUCGGAUCUAAAUAAUCUUAUUUUUUUGAACAUGAAGAGAUAAGGAAGCAUUGCAAUUGCCGGAAAUACUAGGCCUACUAAAGGCACAAAAAUAGAGGGAAAGCUGAAAGUUAUCAUAGAAUGGGUGCCUCGAUUUAUUAUUUGUACCUAUUAUUAUUAUUUAUAAAUAAAGAUAUCUUAUAAUAAUUAUAAUUAAGAAUUUGAAUUCUUAUGAAUUUUAAAUUUAUGUUUUAUUAUUAAUUUAAUUCAAUUUUAAAUUCUUAGUAUAAAUCUAAGUAUCUAAGUAUCUAUAUUUAAAUAUCUAAGUAAAUAUAUACGAAUUCACCAACUCUGAAUUUGAAUUCACUUCGAAUUCAAUUCGGAAUUCAAUAAAUUUCGAUUUCACCGAAUUCAGGAAUAUAAAAAUUAUUAUUGCUAUUAUUAUUAUUAUAUAAAUGUUAUAUUACAUAUAGAUAUAAAUAUUGUAUAUAUAUAUAUAUAUAUAUAUAUAUGAAAAACGAAUUUGAAAUCGAAAUAUAAAUUCUGAAUUCCGAUUUCAAAAUCAGAAUUUCCGAUUUGAAAAUUUUCAUUACCGAAUUCGAACCAAAUUCGCAUAAUUCGAAAUCGAAAAACCUGAUUUCAAUUCGAAAUUACCGAUUUCGAAAAUUUUGAAUUCAGUCGAUAAAUAGAAAUUUUUUUAUUUUGCACACUUCUAUCUGUAAUUGAAAAGCUCUGAAAUGACCGAUGACACUAGCAGAAGAAUUUGUGCACACCUAAAAUUAGUAUCUUAGAGAUUGGAUCAAAGUUGCUUUCUUGAUUUCUUCCCCUGUAGUUUAAGAUUAAGAUUAGUUCGUUGUAGCAACCAUUUGUUGGAUUGUCAAUGAAAUAUACGUUUACGUUACUACUACUACCACGCUCGUUCUUCCUCUAGGCUAAAUAGUACAAGAUGUUUACACGAUUUGAUAGCUUUCCACUUGGCAAACAUGUAAUCACUAUUCCCGAGCAUUGAAAAUCUGGUCACUUAAUCAGAACUUGCCAAGUUGGAUUUCUCUUUGAACUUUUUGCUUGUUAAAUCGAAAAGGACGAUUUGGUCUACCACUUCAAAAUUUGGACGCUACUUUCUUUUAUGAUGAAGCAGUAUCAGAAUUCAGAAUAGCGGACCACAAAAGCUAAGGGAGAAGGGAAAAAACACGAGUUAAAUUUGAUAGUAACGUUACGACAUCUGGAAUUCGGACAAGAAACGUACUUACCACUCUUGUUGCCUCAAACAAUAAUAAUUUGAAGUUACGUGGGCAACUAAACACUAAACAGUUUUUUUUUUUUUCUUUUGGGUACGUCCAUUACCACUUGCCUUGGUGUAGUACUUGUUAAUCUAUAUUGUUUAAAUACACUUAGAAAGUAGAUUUAUCUAUCACUAGGGGUUACGAUCUAUCUUUCUUAAAGAUGACGAGGUAAAUAAAAUUUAUGUUGAUGAAAAGAGAAGGGGUUAAAGAAGUCAAUAAUGAUGCUGGGAUCAGAAAAUAGGUAAGCGUUUUAUCAAUAGUCCAAAUUUUGGUGGAUAGAAAGUUAAGCGUUUCAUCAUUUUAACACAAUAUGUGAUUCUUUCAAAUUUAUAUAGGUAUAUAGUAUAUUUAUCUGAUUUGGCGGUGAUUCAGGCGAGUUAAAAAAAAAAAAGAAAAAAAGAAAAGUAUUGAGUGCUUUAGUACUGCAGCAGACGAUGAGGGAUGGCGAUGGCGCAAAUCAUUGCAGAGUUUCAGUGAUCAAAGCCGCUUUACAUGCAAUGUGCACGGGUUGAGAGGACGGAGGACCACGUCAAUAGUGCAACGUUAAAAGCACGCAUGUGACAAUGUCACAUCCCCUGUACCAUUUGAUUGCCAUGUGGAACUCUCUUGCUGUUUGACACGAAUCAACCAAUGUCCAAACUCCAAACAGACUCUUUAACACGUAACUAACUGCCUUUUCCUUCUUCUUUUUUUUUUUUUUUCGGGUGUUGAGAAGAGUACAAGAUUAAAAUGAAACUAUCAACCUGUAAGUGUUUAGUAUACCCAAUGUAUUACUGUUUUUUUUUUAUUUUUUUUAUUAUAGAUGAAAUUUAAACUCUCGACCUACCUACAGCUCAACGAGGGACUAGAUUAAAGAAUGCUCUGGAACCAUAUUUGAAAUUUUUUUACUAUAUAUGAAAUUUGAGCUCUCAACCUAUAAUCUAAGGAAGGAUUAGAUCGACCUAAGGACUUCUUUGACAGUCAUUGAUUCAAAUCUCAAAAGUUUAUUAGUGCUUCGUUUUUCAAUAAAUUCUUCCAUAUAUUUUCCGUCUUUCCUGUACUAUCAUACAUUAAGAACGAGGUGGACAUUUAGAAUAGUAGGAUACAUACAUACAUGUGAUCAAAGCAAGGUGUUUCGAAUGUCGUUACGUCCCUCCCCCUAAACCCCAAAAAAAAAAUAUCCUUACUGUACUCCUAAUCUUUGUAAUACUGCAUUCGUUUCCCUAUGGAACGAGUAUUCCCGAGUCGAACGAAUUGACUCUGUAGUAUCUGAUGUCAUUCCUUUGCCCCAUCUAAAUAAAUCAGUAUAAAAGAGUUUAUUCGAGAAAAUUGCUGGCUUUAGGCUGGCGUUGCUAGCUUCUACUUCAACUACUUUAUUAGUGCAGUCUAUCAGAAACAGAGUUAUGAAAAGGGCAAAAUAACAAAUGCUGUUUGAAGGAGUUUCUAGCAAGCCGACCACUUGGAAGUUUCUAUCCACUGAACCAAACUUGUUGAUUUGAUUCGCAUCUCAAGUUGUCAACCACAUAAUAAAUUUCAAGUAGAAUAUAGUAAUACUGACCAAUUACAUCUUUGCAUAUAUGGCAACUGACAAUCUAACGUCUAUCUCCCUCUCUCAACCCCUCAAAUGGGAAUGGUGUACAAUCCUUUUGGAUGAUUAGUUACAUGUGUCAACAAACUUGUGCGGAAUGUUUUGUAGCGUUUUUAGGUUCAGCCACGUACAUGGGAUAUUGAUUUUUCAAUGGCAAGCUUACUUUGAACGAUUGGACAUUCAUUUUUUGUUUAACGAAUGCUCUUAGAAUUGGUACUAGCUAAAUGGGAUUUUGAAUAUUGACUUUUUUGAGAAUACACAAAUUAAAUAGUGUCAAAAUGCAAGACAAACGGUAAUUACAUAUAUACCUAAGAAACCCCCCAUCAUACAUCAACCACUAGAUUAUAUUGCAAAAAGAUUAAAAAAAUUUCUGGCUUGUUAUUAAUGCUUCCCGUUGAUUGAAUGGGCUAAUUGCCAGAUGUUAUUCGGACCUACAGAUAAUAUUGCUUACUCAAGCUGUGGAUUUAUCCUUCUAUCAGUCGACAACAUUUACCAAUAAAAUCCGAAUGCAGGUUCUCAUCUAAUAAGUUUCUUCAUAAGUUCUUGUACUAAAGAUAAACUUAGGUAUGACAAUUUAACAUUCUUUACAAAUCAAAGGAAAAUAUAAUAGUUCUAGUUUAUUAUUCAAUAGAUUAGUUUUAAUUGAGUUAGCGAGGACUCAACAAAUUAUCAUACAAAAUAGGGUAAAAACUUCUAUAGACUUAAUUUUGUGGAUCAUGCAAUCCAAAUUUUGCCACAUCUUCAGUUCUUGAAUUAGUGAGAUGGUAUUGCAAAAUUUAGAUCAUAUGAUCUGCAUAGAUCGAGUCUACUCAAGUAUUUACCAACAAAUAGGACAAAAGUGGGCGCUUUAUUGUUAAAUUACAUUUGUUAAUUGCAAAUAUAGAACCAUGAAUUGAAUACACUAAUUUUGGAAUUGAACUUGUGUACUUCUGUGGAGUAUAUGUGAAGUGCUCUAAUCUUCUGCAUUUUUAUUGAGGUUUUGUGAUUCUGAACUCUAGCUGAGAGGUUGAAGACCUUGUCGAAAAAACAACUGACUUUAGAACAAAACCAGUUGCAAAUUUAAUACUUUAAUUAGCCGCUGCCUGCUAUGUACCUAGAAUAGACAUGGAUCUUACUCGUAGAAUAGCUGAAUGUGGUUUUCAACUACUCAACUGUGAUUAUCACACGCUUUUGUACAUUGGCGAAUUGCCCCACAUGAUGAUCCCGCAUUGUAACUAUGUUUACAUAAUACUUUUGAACCAAAAAAAAAAAAGAAAAUGUUAUUUGCAUUUUAUUUUUCAGUAUUUGCAUUUUUAUUAUUUAUUUUAUCAUAUAGUUUAAUAAAUAAAAAUUAUAUUAUUAAAAUGAUAGUGAGAGUAUGAUUAACAAAAAUGAUAAUGCGCAUAGCAUUUUUCAAAAAAGAGAAAAAGAAAAAAAAAAAAGUCUCUGCCGGACUAUGUUUGUUCGAGGGCCAAAGCAACAUAGGAUAGGAUAGGAUAGGCAUCACAAGAAGGACUGCGACAUCUACACAGAACAUGAUGAAACUCGUUGCUUUAGUAAACCAAUCAUAUGAUUAUGAUUAAUAUAAAUUACUAAUCGAUCAUGAAACUAAUUAAAAAAUUGUCAAUUUGGAGUAAGUUAUUGUAAAGACUUCAUUAGUCAAUGGUUUAGGUGAUUUUCCCUUGAUUUAAGGAUAUUUUUGGUUUCAUCCUAUGAAACAUUUUCAACUCCAAUUGAUAAAUUAUGUUUUGUACAAUCCGGCUUUGAUCAUGAAAGUUUAAGUGGUAUAAUGUUAUAAAAUUAAUCUUAUAUGCACUGUCAGUAUAUACGCUGUCAUCAUUAGAUAUAUAACGUAUAUAUAAAAUUUAAAUUUAAAGUUUAAAAUUUAUUUCUGUGUCAUUCAUCCAACUUUAACCGUAACGAUGUAUAUAAAAUUUACUCGAUGUAACGUAAUAUUGCCUUUCGUGGUGUGGUGGAUCAUGGAUGUAUGCGUAAGUGGAAAAAGAAUAUAAUAGUACUACUAGUUAUCUCCAUGUCGGACAAAUUCAAAUUGAAAUGUAAUGUAUAUGGUACCAUGGACCAUGGACUACAAUACAGAUAUUUUUGCAAAUAUCGUAUGGAAACUUCAGAGUUGCCCCCGCCAUAAAUGUCACCGUCUUAUCCUACCAGAAAAAGGCUGUAUUUACAUUUAAUCUAUCCUAAGCGCACAUGUAAGAUUCUCAUCAUCUACGAGUAGCAAUAGGAAUAGGAUGGAAGAAUUAAUAGUAGUAUAAGGUCAAAACCCCAACCCCCAUUAUAAGUUAGCGAAUCGAUGGACCGUCGAACAAGAACUGGAACUAUACGGUACCAAAAAUGAUUAAAACAGCUUGGCUAACCAAUUGUACCAAUUACUACUAUCUUGCAUUCAACUCUCAUAACUGUAAAUGUACCAAUUCCCCCACCUUUUCAUGUUCGAGCAACUAGAAGUAUAAUUGAACCAGAUUAAAAGAGAAUCGAAGGAUCACAUUACUGAUUGGUAUCGAACAGAAUCCAAAUUUCAAGCCAAACACAACUCAGAUUUCAAGAAUUCCUAGACACCACACACUUUUCACAAACUCCAACACUUCAGGCAUAAAAACAAAGAGAAAGAUCCAAAUGAUUGUUCCAUAAUGUACUACCAACAUCACAUGCAACUUACUGUAUAACAUUAAACUGAAGUUAAGAAGAAAUUAAGGUCAAUUUUUAUUUUUUAUUUUUUUGCAGUUGCUGUCAAUAUAAGUACUCACUUAGAUCGAAAAACUAAAAAACACACAAAAUUUUUCUCUUUUUCUUUUG
rnacentral:lncRNA from 1 species